CAGAUGGUACAGAGAUAAAAAUAUUUGUUACUAUUAGUUCCGAUGGCAUCGCUUUUAAUUUCAAUGUUCAGGAUGUAGUUGAGGAUAUAGUUGAGGGUGAAGUUGAGGGUGAAGUUGAGGUUGAAGAUGAUGUUAGAAUUGAGAAUGUAGCUGAGGAAGAAGAUGAUGUUAGAAUUGAGAAUGUAGCUGUGGAAGAAGAUAAUGUUGGAGAUGAAUAUGCUGAUUAUAAUGGUGUAGAAGAUGCUGUUGGAGAUGAAGGUGUAGAUGAGGAAGAAUAUAGUGUUGAAGAUGAAGGUGGAGCUAAUCUAGAGACUGAUUAUGAUGCUGUAGAUGAAGGUGUUGGAGACAAGGAAGCAUAUGGUGUUGAAGAUGAAGGUGGAACUCAUCUAGAGGCUGAUUAUGAUGCUGUAGAUGAAGGUGUUGGAGAUGAAGGUGUAGCUGAGGGAGUAGAUGAAUCAGAUAAAUCCUCUACUAAAAAUUUUGAAAAGAAUUUAGGCUUUAGUUCCAUUGAAACUGACUCAGGUGAAGAUGAGUUAGUUUAUGACAAUGAGAAUCCAAUUGUGGACUAUGGUGUGAAGUAUCCUGAUGUCAAUUCAUUUAGAAGUGCUCUUCUUCAAUUCGCUGUCCAAAAUCAAUUCCAAUACAAGGUUAUUAAAAGUGAUCAAUCUAGAGUGACUGCAAGAUGUAUGACAGAAGGUUGUAGGUGGAGAAUACACGGAGCAAGGAUUCGAGGAGAAGCUACCUUUUAGGUAAAUAAGUAAAUUAUAAUUGCUACUAUGUCUAAUAUUACUUUACUCUAAUUAUUUCUUUCAAUCUAUUGUGUCGACAGAUCAAAACUCUCCAAUCAGAGCAUACGUGUGAAGUUGUCAAUAGGUGUGGAAACAAGAAUGCUACAAAAGGAUGGAUUGCAGAAAGAAUCAUUAAUUGGCUGAAAAAUGAAGGUGAUAUAUCUGUGAGUGAAUUGUCUAGAAGACUUAAAGAGCAGUAUGCAAGGUUAGAGUUGCCCUAUUUAAGGCUGUGGAAGGGCAAGGAGCUCGCUAUGACCCAAUUACAUGGAAAGUAGGAUCUAUCAUUUUUAAGAGUUUUUGAUUUUUGUGAUGAGAUUAGAAGAAGAAAUGUAGCAAGUCAUAUACAGAUUAAAUUGAUAGAGUUGGAGGGUAAACAACAUCUUCAGCGAAUGUUUAUUGCUUUUGGGGCUAGUAUACAAGGUUUUCUAACAGGGUGUAGGCCAUAUGUCGGUUUAGAUGGAGCUCAUCUUAAGGGUAAAUUCAAAGGGAUUAUUGUUUCAGCAAUUACAUUGGAUGGAGACAACUCAAUGUUUCCGGUUGCAUAUGGUGUGGUUGAGUCAGAAUAUGCAGAAAGUUGGAAAUGGUUCCUAGUAGCUCUCAAGGAAGCUAUAGAUUGUCCUAAUGGUUUGGUUCUAUCCAGUGAUAGGCAAAAAGGCUUAGAUAAGGCCCUUCUAGCUGUCUAUCCUACUGCUGAACAUCGUGAAUGCAUGCGUCACUUAUAUAGUAACUUCAAGAAACGAUUUCGAGGAGAUAUUUUGAAGAAACAUCUAUGGGGAGCAGCUAGGGGAUAUACAAGUUCAGCAUUUCAGUACCAUAUGGAAAGGGUGGAGAUGGCAGAUAGUAGAGUGGUUGAUUACUUAAGAGAGAAUCAUGGUCAUGUAUGGAGCCGCUCUUUAUUUGGAAUAGAUGCUAAGUGCGAACAAGAAACCAAUAAUAUCUCUGAGACUUUUAAUUCUUGGAUCAGUAAAGAAAGGAAUAGACCAGUGAUAGAUAUGAUGGAUGCCAUACGACAGAAAAUAAUGAUUAUGAUGAACAAAAGAAGAAGAGAUGGAGCAAAAUGGUCAACAAAGCUUGUACCAGGAGCAACUAAGCAUAUCAACAAUUUGACCAAGGUAAAUAUAAAAACCUGCUCAUUGUUUCUUACUAUAAAUUAUUUCUAAACAAGCAAACUUACAAACUUGUAUUGUGUUAAUGCUAGGAUCUUGAAAAUUAUAAAGUGUUGAGGUGUAGUGAUGAGCAAGUGGAGAUAGAAUGGCCGAAUUCAAGAUGUGAUGUAAGGUUGGAUGAGAGGACAUGCACAUGUAGAACAUGGCAAGUCUCCAGAUUGCCCUGUGUACAUGCAAUUGCUUUUAUAGCUAAGAUGAAACUCAAUGCUGAAGAUUAUGCAUCAUCAUACUUCACUGUGGAGAGGUAUCGAGAUGCCUAUUCAUUAAAUAUUAAGCCAUUGCCUGCCCAAGAGGAAUGGAAAAAGAGUGAUAUAGGUUUUAGUGUAUUGCCACCUAUAUUAGCAAGACCUGUUGGCAGGCCACGAAAAAAAAGAAUAAGGGGAGCAGGAGAGAUGAUUAAGAGAAAACACAAAUGUGCUAGAUGUGGUGGUUUUGACCAUCAUGCAAGAACUUGGUAAGAAUACUGUUCCAGUAGCAGGUUCUAGCCAACAAUCUAGAAGGUAAUUUAUUUCUUUCAACCUACUAUAUUAUCUUUCAUAUUUUUCACUAGUUUCAAUAUCUAGAUAUAGUAAUCGUGAAUUUCUUUUCCAGCAACAUAAGAAGAAAAAAUAGUGGAUCGCAACAACAAGAGCACGAUUUUGAACAUGCGGCAGCAGCGAGAUCACAGCAGCAAAAAGGGUUAUUUCAUAAUGCUACAUCUUUCCAUCAAGCUAUUAUCUUAUCUUUCAUUUUUCUUAUAAUCUUAAUUUAUAUAAUUAGUGACUUUAAACUUCGAUUUCAGUAAGAAAAAGAAGAGAAAUAGUGGAUCGCAGCAGCGAGAGCUAGCUCAAGAUGUAGCAGCAGGGGCAGUACAGCAGCAAAAGGGCAAUACAGCAUCUUCAAGGUAAAUAUAUUUCCAUACAGCAUCUUAGUCUUAAGUGCUAAAUUCAGUGACUGUAAACUUCAUUUUUAGAAAGAAAAGAAGGAAAAUUAGCGGAUCGCAGCAGCGGGAGUUAGAUUCUCAAGUUGCAGCAGAAACAUCACAGCAAAAUGCGGCAAUUCUCUAUUCACAACAGGGUUCAACCAUUUUUAGCAUUGAUGCAAAUAGAUUGCUAGGUUGAGAAUGCUCUGUUAUUUUUUCAAUGAAUGCUCUGUUAUUUUUUGAAUGAAUGCUUUGUUAUUUUUUGGAUGAGGUUGACCCUAUUUUUUUUGGAUAAUGAUGGAUGAUGAUGGCUUGUAAUUUUUUGGAUGCUGAUGGCCUGUAAUUUUUUGACUGAUGAUGACCCUGUUAUAUUUUGGAUGUGAUGACUUAUAUUUUGGAGCUUGAAUGAUAUUAUUGUUAUUCAUGAUACAAUUGUUAUUCAUGAUGACUUAUAUUUUUGGAUGAUGAUGGAAUUGUUGGUCUACAAUUGUUAUUCAUGAAAGUUCUGCUAUGAUGUAAUCCAAGUAAUUGCAAAUAUUGAAUGAAUGCUUAAAUAAGACAUCCUACAUAAUAAUACUUCUUUAACAGAGAUAAACUAUUGUAAUUGCAUCCUGCAAACCAACCCAAUUACAUGAAAAUUAUAUAAUACUCCAUCACAUCCUGUAUUAUAUAGUCCAUCAUAUCUAAAAUACUCCCCUUAUCAGUAUAUCAAGGAUUACAAUACAGAAAAGUAAUUUAAGCCAGAAUAGAACUUUCACUUCCAUCCUUUGAAUUUUUUGCUCAGUGGCUUCUCCAAUUGCUUUUAACUGAUAUUUUAGAUCUAAAGUGCUGUGUUGCACAUCGUCGGUCCAUAAAAAAUAAUUGCAAUGUCCAACUCCUUCAACCUGCAAAGAGAAAAAAAAAAAUUCUUAUAUAUUAUUCGUAAGAUAUAGUCCAUGCAGUUAGAAUAUACAAUAGCUUAUCUUACCCCACAAUUUAGGUAGCGGUAGAAUCGACGUCCUUGGCUUGUUGGCUGCUUCGAUACCCAUAUUCUACAAGAUCUUUCGCAGUCGCACACAUGAAUUUGUGCGCCAGGAGUUGAUGCAGAUCUCUCACUUAGAUGGCUCAUUAUGGCUAGAAGUGAGGCAAAUAAGAGAAAAAAAAAAGCUAAUAGAUGGAGAAGUAAGCUUGACUUAUUUUUGAGCUAUGGAUGUGCUUUUAUAAUGUUAGAAAAGAAGGCUACCGUUGAAAUGACCGUUGGAGGGUAAAUAGGAAACGAUUUUGAUAUUUGAAGGGCAAAUAAGAAAAGUAUUUGCUACAUGAAGGGUAUAUAAGAAAAGUUAGUUACGGUAUAAGGGUAUAUUGGAAUGGGCAAAAUGGUAAUUUUUCAGGGAUAACGACAACUGUUAACACCUCACUAACGGAAUUUAACUCCAGGGGUAAAUUAAAAAGAACUUGGAACAUAAGAAGGGUAUUUUCAAUAUUAGUCUUCUAAGAGGGGUAAAUAAGAAAAUCGGAAACUUUCAGGGGUAUAUAGGCAAUUGCCCCUAAAAACAAUUAGAAGGACAAAAUAGUAAUUUCAUAGAGAUAAUAGAGUUCAUUAACAGAUUUUAACUCUAGGUAUAUUUGAAAUAUAUUGGAACGUAAAAAGGAUAUUUUCAAUAUUAGCCUUCUAAGAGGGGUAAAUCAAAAAGUUUCCGCUAAGAAGGUUAAAUCAAAAGGUCGAAAACUUUUUAGAAGUAUAUAAGCAAUUGCCCCUUUUUACUAUUACAAUUGCCAUCUUGGGUAAAUUGAUAAGGCAUGCGAGUACCACACAAAAGUUUUUAAAAAAACUGGGCCAUCUAUAGAUGGAGCUAUAAUUUUUUUUUGUUGUAUAGAAAUUAGACCAUUAAAUUGAACGUACGAAGUAGACGAAAAGCUGAUACGUCUACUUCAGCAUGGUCAUUUACGGAUAGUAGGUGCAAGCUUUUCAAUAAUUUUUAUUCUAAGAUAGGAACAAAUAAAGCUACGAAACAAAUGUUUGCCUCUAAACAUUUAAGCUAAAAGACCAACUGUCUCUAGUGCAAGUGGCAAAGAGCUUGCUGCUUGGUACCCGAGGUCCCAAUUUCGAAUCCUAAUUGAUUCAUAUUUUUAGCUAAGUUUAUUUCUAAAAAAAAUAAACGAAGCAGGUAGCAUGCUACCUUUCUCUCUCUCUAAAAAAAAAAAAAAGGCUAAAAGAUAGAGAUCCACAUCACAUUAUAUAUAGGUUAGGAUUCUAAUUUAUUUCUAAUAUGACACGAAGCUAGUAUGUUUAUAUGAGAAUCAGACAAAUUAUUUUUGAAAGAUCUGGUCUACGCCAAAUGGGAAUGAGAUGAAAUUGGGUUGAAAGAAUGCGAAGCUAGUUUGAAGUAACUAGAUAAACUAGUUGAGAAUCACAUGAAAUCUGUUGAAAGAGGACUAAACCAAAAAUUACAGGGCCACAAGGGAAGUCUGAAUCGAGCUUUGAUAGUAUAUUAAAAGGGUUGGAGCUCAACCCACCACGAGCUUAAUUAAUUAAUUAAUUAAUUAAACUGCCAGUUGGAGAAACCCUUCACAAUAUAUGUAUGUCAUGAUUCAAAAUUUCUAUUAAAUAAAAGACUACUAUACUUUAACAAGAGUACUAUCAAAAGUGUAGAUAGAUUAGGGGAUGAUUGGAGCACGUCAAUCAAGUUCGCAAGUUUAUACACUAAAUUGACUUGGUAUUCGAACUAUUCAAAGUUUGGAGUCUGAAUGAUGCAGGAGGAUCUAGGUGGCCAAGUUUGGUUUGGGUUAAGACACCAAUAUUGUCCCGUUUUAGUAUAUCUUCCACAUAUGGACUCUGGUNNNNNNNNNNNNNNNNNNNNNNNNNNNNNNNNNNNNNNNNNNNNNNNNNNNNNNNNNNNNNNNNNNNNNNNNNNNNNNNNNNNNNNNNNNNNNNNNNNNNCUUGCUAGCUGUCAACUCGAUCAGACGUUUGAAGCUUCAGUGGGAAGAGAACAGCGUGUUUAAACAAGCGUACCCUGGCCCCGAAAUUUAAUGGAAUUUAAAUAUUUUCUUUUCUUUUUUCUUUUUUUAAUUAUUGUAAUUAUUAUUAUUAUUAUUAUUAUUAUUAUUAUUAUUAUUAUUAUUAUUUAUUUUUUUAUUUUGGUAUCGUUCGUAGAUUGUUCUACCUCACUCUUGUAGCUUAAUUCAUUUCUUUAAUGAAUGAAACAGCUAGCAUGCUACCUUUUUCUCAAAAAAAAAAACUAUAAUCAUAUAAUAUAUAAUUGAAACAUGUUGGUAAAGCUUUCUAAAGUAUUCGAUAAAUCAUAUCUGAUCCAGAUCCUAUCCGGGCCCGAACUGAACCCGGUAAAACAUAGAUAACAUACGGGUAAAAAAAAAUUACCCAUUAAAGUUUCGAGUAUGAGUCCGGAUAUUUUAUACCCAUACUUGAUUUGGACCCGAUCCAAACCCAACUUUUAAAUGGGUAGGAUCCGAAAUAGUUUUCAAAUCUAGAACCAGACUCAAAUCUGAUGAUAUAUCUGAUAGUAAAUAAAAAAAAUUUGAAUUUUCGAAGUUGAGGGAUCAAUUUUAAUAGGACUUAUAAAUGAAGGGUCUCUAAGUAUUUUUAUUCUAAUAAAACACUAAAAUCCUAGCCGCUCUUUUACUCUUUUUUUAAUUUUUUUUAAUUUUUUAUUUUUUACUCUUUAUUUUUUUGUUUCAUUUCCGCCUAAGAGUUUUUUAUGAAACAAUAUUUCUAUCAUUGUCAUCAUCAACAAAAUUAAUCUUAUAUAGGCGUGGCACAAAUGAGUUUUUUUCAAAUCCCUUUUCCAAUCAUAGUCAACAACCUAUUUUUUUUUUAAUAAAUAUUCUAUUUAGUAAAUUUUAUGAUUCCUCUUUAUUUUUUCCCUUUUUUUGAAUAUUAAUAUAUAAAUAUUAGUAAUUAUUACAACUUAUAUUCUCUUUAUCUAUAUCAUGGUAUCAUAAUUUUCUUAUUUUUGCGUGUUUAUAUAUGAAACUGUUUUAAAUUUUAGGCUUUUAAUUAAUCAGUCAAUAUAAUGGCCGAAAUAAGUUCUGCCCAGAUAAUUUAAUAAAGUCUAUAAAAAAAAUAUAUGUAUAUGAAUAUCCGUACCCGAUUUAGACCCGACCUGUAUCCGGUCAUUAAUGGGUAAUGUACGGGUAGGGUAGUCGCUACCCAUACCCACUCAAAUAGACCCAAUGGAUAUAUUAAUAACUUAAAGUAUCCAGACCCGAAUUCAACCCGAAGUUAAAUGGAUAGAGUAUUUUUUUUUUGUAACCAUUUUUUUUAGGGUAAGAAUACCGACCGUCCCUAGAGCAAGUGGCAAAGGGCUUGGUGGUUGGUACCCGAGACCCAAGUUUGAAUCCUAGUUGAUUCACAUUUCUAGCUAAGUUUAUUUUUAAAUGAAAUAAACGAAGCAGAUAGCGUGCUAUCUAUCUCUCUUACAAAAAAAAAAAAAAAAAAAAAAAAAAAAAAAAACUACCCAAGAGUUGAAUUUUAUAAUAUUUUGGCAUCAUCUACUUUACGAGUAAAAGAUCUCAAAUGUAAGAAUUUUAACGGCCAAUAUAAAACAUUUUCUCAUUUAACAGUGUGGAACAAUUAAAUUUGAUUAAAGUUUUGAUAGAAAAUUCGAUAAGCUAUGCAUCUAGGCCAAGAUUAAUAAUUCCAAUCUUAAAUUAAAAAGAAAAAGAAAAAGAAAAAGAAAAAUAUAAUCCUCUACUUUUGGAAGAUUGUUCAACUUUAACCAUUUAUUUUAUAUCCUCCUAAUGGACUUGAUAAAAGUGAAGAAAAUACUAUUCUAUUCGUUGUUAUUUAAAGGCUAUAAUGUAUAGACAUCCUCUAAACUUUAACUUGUUUUGAAAUUAGCUCUUUGAAACUUUUUAAUUUAGUUACACCCCUUCUACUUACUGACCAUUGGAUUUAACUCCUACUAGAAAUUCUGUUGUUUNUAACUUGUUUUGAAAUUAGCUCUUUGAAACUUUUUAAUUUAGUUACACCCCUUCUACUUACUGACCAUUGGAUUUAACUCCUACUAGAAAUUCUGUUGUUUCUGUUAUAUGCAAUGCUCGUGAGAGAUGCUCUUGAUCUCACUCGUGCAUCUCUCAUAAGCGUUUGUUUUGAUUCCGGUAGAAUCACGAAAGGACAAAUAAAACGAUUAGUAAAUAGAGAAGAAAAAAAGAAGUUCACAGGAUCAAUCUUAAAACAGGAUAAAAUUUAGGUGGGUGUCUAUACAUUAGUAGAUUAUAUCUAAUUGUAUGGAUUGUUGAUUUUAAUACUCUUUCCCUCUCUUUUUAUAUAUAGCCUGGUGUUACUAUUGGUUAAAGAUAAGGUUAAAUAUAUAUAAAAUAUAGUAUGACAAAGGUUCUUUUCUUGUGGGAUACUUAAAUCCUGUUAUGAGUUUUACUUUCGCUUUAUUAGAAUUCUAAUCAAACAAAUUAAUUGUCUAUAAAAAUAUUAUUAUUCUUCCCUAUAAUGUGAGGAUGUAUGCAGUACAGUGAGGCAUCGACAAGGCACUUCAUCUGCAACCCAACAGUUAUAGUGAAAAAAAUCAAUUUGGUUGAACCAAAAUAUUGACAAUUUCAGUCUUGUUCGCUUUGCUGUACUGUAGAAAACUAAUAGAUAUAUAAAAAUUGCUAUUAUGUAGCACUAUCCCUUAGCCCCAAAGACCAAUUAAUUCAGAGGGGAAAAUUGCAUGCAUCCCCUUUUAAUUAAUUUUGAGUGGUGUUGUUGUUGUGUAAGUUGAUGAUCGAUCACUAUUAGAACGGCUACUAUGGAAGGUCUAAUUAAUUAAACCAAUUACAAAUGGUCUAAAAGAAAAUUAUGUCCUUUCGUGUCAAUCAAGAUCAUUGUUGACACAUGCUAAACAAGUUGGUACUAGUCCUUGGCCUCGGGAGUAUUUGUUCAAAUUUUAGUGGGCGCCUUUUUUGGGCCGGGUACAUUGUUAGUUGCUGCUAUGCUGUUGCUACAGUUCGAAUCCUGUGCAGGGGGGGUCGAAACCGUGGAUUGCCAAUAGGCCACUAAUAAAACAAUAUCCGUAUUCCUUGAAAGAUCGAUGUUUAAUUAUCUAGACUAGACUAGAUGCGCGUUUGAUUCGACAGUUUAUCUCAACAUAAUUAAAUAUCUAAAAUUUCUGAAUCAAAUUAUUACUUAGAUUGGAUUAGUACGUUUAGUUAGUUCAAUCCAGUAAUAUAAUGCUGAAUUAUAGCAUAUAUUGUAUUAAUAUGUUUGGUUCAGUUUAUUAAAUUCAACAAUCCUUACAGCAAAUCGUAGGCCAUUCCAAAAUUUUCUUUGGCAGCAACGUCGACGGCAGAGAGGCAACUGAGGUGGCCGAGAUUGGUAGUUGGGAAGGGUUCGCGAAAAUGGAAAUAGAAGAAGAGAGAGAGAAAAUAAUGACGUGUCGAAGGGGUUGGAGAGGUUGGAUGGGUAAAAUUAUAAUUUCACAUAAUAUAUAUGAUUAAUCGCCAUCAGUAAUAUGAAAUACCUACCCACUCGGUAAUAUUUCAGAGUAAUCUUGCACCAUUUAUAAUGCUCAAUUAUUGACCGAAUUACAAAUUUGAUGAAUCAAAUACAGCAAUACUAAUAAAAUUGUCUGUAAUCAUGACAAGAUAAGCCGAAUCAAAUGCGCUCUUAGGCAUAUUAUAUAUUAUUUUUAAGUUUUUUAUUUCGAGAAAAAACACUCAUCUUGUAUACGGAAGGUACGUUGCUGAAUAAUCAUUGCUGUUAUGAUCAUGCAAUCGAGUGAAAGCAUGUUCCAAAAUUGCAAUUACAAAAAGAUAAAAAUUAUUUAUUGGUUGACAGCAGUCCACGGAUGAUUGGUUUUCUCUAUAUCAAUUGGUCAAAGUGCAUCAAGUGAUCAUCCCGUCUGACUACUCGUUUCCUUCUGGACCACUAAUUUUCACCGCAUAAUCAAUCCGUGUCCAUGAAAUUCGCUAACCGAAUAAAUUGUUAUUGUAAAUAUAAGUGUUUAUCUCAAAAUUUUAAAAAGAGCAAAACUUCUAUACAAUAUACUUGCAAUACUUUUAAAAGGCAAGAGAGUUCAAAAGUUAAAAGUAAAGUAUAAUUUCUUAAUUUGUCCGAGUAUUGUUGGAAUACAAUAAAGUAACGGGUUGGUCGGUCCUGUCAACAGAACUACAGGAGAGAGAAAAACCAGGUCGGUAAAAAUGUACCGAGGCCCCUCCACUAUAGGACGGAUUGAAUGCAGUCCUUAACCUUUUUUAAGUUAAAAUUUUAUGAAUUUUUUUUAUUUUCAUUACAAAUAUUUAAGGCAAUUUCACAAAUAUUUUACAUCUGGGAUCCGUUUCAAUACCGCUUGUAGUUGGGGGUAGGGGUGGCAACCCAACUCGCCGUUCGCGAGUCAGUUCGUGUUCGGCUCAAAAUGAGCUCGAGAUCGAAUCGCUCGUUUAGUAAACGAGCCUGACACGAGCUGAAUUUUUCAGCUCAUUUAAUAAACGAGCCGAACACCAGCUAGGGUCAGCUCGCUCAUGUUCGGCUCGAUAACAGCUCGAAUACAUAUAUUUUAUAUUUAUAUAAUUUAUUUAAUUUAUAUUUAUAUAUAUAAAUAAAUAACUAUAUAUAUAAUAUAUAUUUUUAUUAUUUAAUUUUUAGCAAAAUAAAAAUAUAAUAGGCAACUUUCAAGUUAUCGACUUAUUUAUUAGAUCAAUAAUUUAAAUGAAACGAUUUUAACUCAAAUUUAUUUUUUUAUAUAUUCAUCUAAUUCUUUAAUUUAUUUGUGCGUUGGCGAACAGCUAGCCCAGCCGUGUUCGGCUCGUUUAGUUAACGAGCGCGAACACCGGCAGCGAAUUUUUGGCGUCGAUACUUAAUCGAGCCACGCCCCUACCGUAUUCGAUCAUUGAAUUUUUGGGCUCCGAUUCACUUUAACGAGCCAGCUCGUGUUCGACUCGUUUAAUAAAUGAGCCUGAACACGAGCUGGCCAGCUCGCUCGUGGUUCGGCUCGGUUCACCCACUAGUUGGGGGAUAUCGAUCGCCGUAUCUUUUUACAUUCUGCUCUAGUGAAAAUGUGUAACAACCCUUCAACAUAUAUUCUUAAAAUAGGGGCUUUAACUAUCUAGUUCCUAUUUAUACACAUUUUUUAAAUUUUUUUGACUGAGUUAUUUUCAACUAAUUACGAAAUUUUUAUAAAUUAAAUAUUACUCUUAAGCCUGAUUAUUUUUAACACAUUUUCAACCUUUCACUUUAAUCACUAACUUGGAUUAAAAUAAUUACUCGCAUCUAAUUUAUGUAUGUCCGUAUAUUAUGAAUCUGUUGAUCUUUCAUCCAUUUCAUAAUGUUAAUUCAAUAGUCAAUAUUUAAAAGAACAUUAUCUUAAUGGGACAGCUCAUUGAAACACAAGCAUAAAAAAAUAAUAAUUAAAUUAUGGUAGAUAACAUAACUAAUACACUGGUAUAGGCCAAGUAAUUUGUCCUUAAAUAUAAAUGGUAUGGGCAAGUAAAUUUUGAUAAGAUUUUAAACUCCUUAAUAUCAAUUUUAAAAAGUUAUAUAUGGGACAAAAUAAAACUAACUCAAUUUGAGGGAAUAGUGGUGCAAUUUUUACUAGAAAUUAAGCAUCAAUUCUAUCUAUAUAGCUUUGUUCUUCUAUUUUAACCCAUCACAAAGGUAGGGAUGACAAUUUUUUCUGGCAACUAGAUCCCCGCGAGGAUCUAUCCCUCAGUUGAGCGAGGAUGGGGAGAAUUUUGUCUCCGCCGAGAUUGGAAAAGGAAAAAUUUUUCCCCGCUCCUAGAAAGGGCAGGGACGGGGAGAGCCGGAUACCACUUCUGCUUUACGAAAUAAUUUGAUAUCAUUAAUAAUGUCACAUAUUUAUAUAAUAAGAAAACUAAUUUUAAUUAUUUUAAUAUAUUUAAUUAAUUAAAUAUUUUAACAUAUUUAGUUUAAUAUAAUAUAUAGUUAAAUAAACUUGAUAUCUAUACGUCCUAAGUAAUUGAUAAGUCACACUAAUAAUUUGAUAUUUAAAAAAAAUAUAUUUAAUAAUAAAUAAAAUUCUAUUAAAUUUUAAAGAAAGAAUUAAUUUAGCUAUUUUUAAAAAAAAAUCGCGGAUUCCAGCAAGGAUCGCCAUCCCAACGGGAACGGAAACGAAAAACUGGAGAAAUCUUUUCCCCCCAUUUGCAGGAUUUGGGGGGAGGGGAAUUCUAAAACACCUGUGAACAGGGACGGGGAAGGGAAGGUAUAUAGCUCCGGUCCGCCGCGUUGCCAUCCUACUCAGAGAACAAGAGACUCACAAGAGAACAAAAUAAGUAUAUUUUUAAUCCUCUAACUAUUGACUAAUUAAUUUACCCUUCUAGAGAGCACGAGUUAUAGAAAAAAAAGACAUGAUAACAAAGACAAUGGAAAGAGUCGUUUAUUAAUUUUAUUGUGACGCUUCUACAAUUCAACGGAUGCCAAAAAUGACAAAUAAAAAAUAAAUAAAUAGAAAAAAAAAAACAAUCUUCCUACUAACCUGUGAGAAUUUAAUAAAAGUUUCUCAGAAAAAAGAAGUUAACAUUGAUUCUCUACAUGCUUCUUUUCAAAUAAUAGGCACAAUAUGAUACUUGACGCUGUUAAAUCACCGAGUUCAUGCUCAUGCCAAACUUUUUGUAUUUUUUCCUAUUCUCCGGCCAAAAUUUUCUACAUACAAAUAAAGAGUAUGGCAUGCCUUGACCAAGGAUUAGAUUUAUUACUUGGACCUUCCUAUAUUUAUAGUGAUCAGAUUCCAUUAAUUAAUAAGAUGAAAACAAAGAAUUGACCCAUGUUUUGGGGUGUCUUCACAAUAAUAAUAAUAAAAAUCUAUACCAUAAACGUAGGAGCAUGCAUCAAAAUAUAUAUGGGUAAAAUACAUAUAUAUAGAUAGUCCCUGUGGUAUCCUAAUAUUUCUAGUUUUUGCAUACUUUAGCCUCAAAUUAUAAAGAUACUGCUCCUAUGGUUCCCGCACAAUAAAAAAUUAAAAUUUUAUUACAAUAUAAUAUUAAAAUAUUUUAAAUAGCUGAAUGUUUAAUUUAGUGAUAGAAAAGUUUAGUCAUUUUCAUGAGUAAAAUUAUUCUUUCGUUUCAUGUUAAAUGACUGGGCGAGUUCGGAAUCAGAAUAGUAAUAUAGGACCUAUCCUAUAAUCUAGUCUUAUUUAUCCAGAGAAAAAUGCUAGCUCAGCGUAUGUGACACCAAAAAAGAUUAUAAUCUUUACAGCCCUUAAUUUAAUAGCUUAAUUAAAACGAGUUUAAACCCUCAUUUUAAAUUUUAGUUAACUUUAUCUGGCUAAGUUGUAAGAUCAUUAAGUCGUACGAUAAGACCACCGAACAACUCAUUUACUAAGGACGUUACUACAGAUAUCUCCAAAUAUCGUAGAAGGUAUUCUAACUAUGCUGUAGAUGACAUAAAACAAUGUCAUAUUAUCCCUAAAACAUUAAUUCUAAAUCCUAAAAACUAUUAUUGAAGCCUAUGCAUCAUCAUUAUACCCUAAACUCUAAACCGCAUGUCUAUAUAUAUGAAACAUAUAACAAUAUAUGAAGUAUAUACUCCAAAGUGAGAGAUCCAAAGCAUUUCUGAUUAAACUAAUCUAUCCACAUGCACGGUGCCAUAACAAGGAUGCAUUUAUUUGCACACCUCAAUUUGUUGAGUCGCCAAUGUUGCCGUCGUUCGGUAUUUUGAAAACACGAUUCAAGCUAAAUGAUUAAGUAAUAGAAAUGUGUUAUGCAAGUCAAUAUACUACUACCUCUUGUGCUUUCUUUGCCUUUAUUUUAAGGAUCGCGUUGAAUGAUAAGACAGUUGUCUUAAGUACAUUGAACAUUUUUAACUUUUCGGUGGUCCCAUCACUAAAUUUAUAUAGUGUAGGCAACUAAUUAAAUUAAUAUAGCUACGCGUAAGGGCACAUUAUAUACAUAGACUAAUUAAUAUAUAUAAAAAGUGGAAAAAACUACAAAAAAAUAAGCAGUGUGAAAGCCUUUUAACCUAAUUUAGCACUUUAUAAAUAAUCCUCAGGUUCUAAACUUUAGUAAUGAAAUUUUCUAUGUUUUUACUGAUCAUUGUGAUUUAAUAGAUUUCUCUCCUCAACGAUAGUCAUUUCAAACCGCAUGUCAUCGAACAUAAUUUUGUGCAGCAUUUAAAAUAUCGAAAAAAUAUUUAAUCUCUAUAAUCCAGUUUGAAAUCAUGUAGUGGAGUUUAAAAUAGUAAAACGUUACUUCACCUUUAUUAAUUCUUUUUUUAUUGUCUAGAAACAUAAACGAAAAUGUCAUAUAUAGAUUUCUUUGUUUAAAGCUUUAAUAUAAAUGAUGCAAUAUAAGCACCAAUAUGACAAUAAUAUAAUUUGCUAACUCUGAUUGCGAUCGGACCUCAUUGAGACUACUAAAUAAGUUUAGAGAACUAAUGUAUUAAAAGAAAAUUUCAGGCGUCUAUUUGUGAAUGUGUUAAAUUACAUGUUAAGACGAUUUGUUUAGCAUUUUCUACCCCGCAGUAGAAACUGUCUCUACUUAUUAUUAUAUUUUGUAUUAUUGAUGGGCGAAAUAAUAGUCCUUGCAUUGGCAAGGAUAGAUUGCAUUCUUAGACUGUAAUACUAGUGAGAGUUAUAUUCAAAUAACUUAACUAUUGUUUUUUAAUUGAUAGAGGCAAAAAGUCCAAUCUUGGCAAGAAUAUAUAUGUUUUACCUACUCAAAACGAACUUAAUCUAUCCAUCGCACUUCUCCGCUUUCCGUUAACCUCAGCAUUUUUAAUAAACAAUUGUCUUAGGUUUAAGUGUAAAAAUUUGUGGAUUUAUUUCUAUAGUGCAAUUAGUAGGCCUUAAUUCGUGGCAGUAAAGAAGUCUUUCAUUCAAAUUGUGUUGAAAUUAAUUUCCGCACAUCUCCUUACAUCUUUGCGACUUUGCUAUGUUAUGAAGCUAAUGUAUCUUGUGCCUUGCAUCUAAUUAAUGAUGCAGCGAAGCAAUAAGAAUAGGGAAUGGAGAGUAUAAUAUGGAGGGCCAAAUUUUGUAGAAAUAACUAUAACUUUAUAUGAAUUUUUCAUAAAAAUGAAUGACAUGGCAACCCCUUUUUUUAGAUCUUUUAUAUAUUUUGCUACUCUUUGAACGACCUCUCCAUCUUUCUUCAACCGUUUCUCUUUUUUCAUACGACAUUUAUUUUUGCCUCCUUUGAACCGAGUCUCCUCUUUUUCACAACCAUUUUCUUCUUCAUAUGACAUUUAUCUUCCAAUAUGACCGUUCCCUCUGUUCCCAUAUGGAAUUAUCUUUCCAUGCGACCGUUUUCUCUUUUCCAUAUGACAAUUUAUUCUUACCGGCCAUGCAACCUUUCUCUUCGCCAUACAUUUCAUAUCGAUUAUUUUAUCUUUCCAAUGUUGACCGUUUCUCUUCCAUAGAAAGUUAUUCUUCUCCAUGGCGAUCCGUUCUCUUUUUUUAUGACAAUUAUUUUCCGGCAAUGCAACCAUUUCCUCUCACCAUAAGUUGUGGUUUUUCUCCUGCUUCUUCAUUGCCAUUUCCUUUACCAUCUUGCCUUUUUAAUACAGAUUAACCAAUUUUCUACUUUAUUUAAUCUAUAGAAUUCUUCAGUCAUGUUUAAUAAUAUAUCUGUACAUUCUUUCAUGUGAUUUGCACAAUUGUAUUGAUUUUUAUUUUUUAUCUUUUUCAAUACGAUCCUGAGUCGAUAAACAUCCUGGAGUUACUAAAAAAGUCAAGAGAUAAGCGCGCGGUACUAUAUAUAUAUACGGAGUGAGCCUGGAAUGCUAACGGUAGCAACUGGCUCCUGUGCCACCCAUUGUUUUCGAUGAUGAGCUUUACAAAUUGAUGAUCACACCGUUGAACAUAUCUAUACUACUUGAUAGUAUCUAGAAACCAAAUUUCAAAAUCAUUCGACAUCAUUGACCUAAUUGAUCAAAGGUUCGCAAAAUUUAUAAUUUUAAUGGUAGAUAUAGUGCGGCGUUUUCUCGUUUACUUGUAAAACUAACCAAAUCAAUUGAAUUUAGGUUAGAAAAUUCUUAAACAUUAGAAUAAAAUUAUACUCAUCAAUCUGAUUACAAAUUCCUAUCUCACUUUUUAGAGGAUAUUCAUUUUCAGCGUGUUUCUUUAUGCCACUCUGAUGGACAAGAGAAACAAUACUGGAAAACACAUGAAAUUUAUUUUAGAUACUUCAGUGGUAUAAUCAAUAUUCAACGGUUCGAUCAUCAAUUUGGAUGCUCAUCAUCGAAACAACUGGGUGGCCAACGAGCCGGAUUUACUAGCGACUAGUAUUCUACCAACUAGUAUAUCUAAUAGUAUAUUAUAUAUAUAUAUAUAUAAUAAUAUAUAAUAAUAUAUAUUAUAAAUAUAUAUAUAUUAUAUAUAUGAUAUAAUUAUAUAAUAUAGCUGUUUUAUGAUAUGAAUUUUAUUAAAAAAUUUAUUUCAUUUUUUUUCGUUUUUUUAGUUUUUCUGAGCUGUCUUAGUGCCUCCUUUACAUGAAAGUUUUACUUCUUAUUGGAGAACAUUACGAUUUAAUAGCAAUUUGAAGACAUUAAUCAUCUCAAUGCAUAGUUGUUGUUGCCAUUUGAAUAUGAUUUUCUUAUUUCUCAUACAAUUCAUUAUCAUUAUUUGUUUUGCAAGUUUUGAAUUUAAUAUCCGAUAAUAUUCAGUAUCGGAGAAAGAUUCAUUUUCAUUUAGUUGUUUCCUUUCGACACGAAAAAUAAUUCCUUUAUAUUACUAAUUGCUUAUUACAUUAUUCCUUAUUACUAAUUAUUAGUAAAUUAGAAUAUACUACUAAUAUAUAUAUAUAUAUAUCUAAUUGUUUUUGUGAGUAAGUUUUAUUUUUUCUUUUUUUUUUUUAUUGAUGGAUCUUUUUAUUUUAUCAUUGGUAGGCUUUAUAAGUUUGCCGUCCGCUGCCGAAGCGCGGGUCUGCGUUCACUUAGUAUUUAACUUAUUCCUGGUGAUCAUCUAAGAACAUGUCAUUUCCUCCAUAAUUUUUUACUAGGGAUAAUUGUCGUAUAUUACCCCUCAAACUUCAAAUAUCUGAUUAUCCCCACAUUUUUUUUUUUUCUUUCUAUAUAUACCCGUCAUAUGUUCCUGUAUACUAUUCGUUAUUCUAAAAUACCCCUGUAGUUACCACCGCGUUUAAGCUUGAACUUUGGGUUACACGUGAGUUAAUAUCUACCUAUAGUUAAAAAAAAAUUAAAAUGCCACUUUUGUCCUUAACUAAGGCAAUACGAAAAUUCUGGUGAUGAUAGCAAGGGAAAAUAAAACAAAAUACCUUUGUGCCCCUAACUUAAGGGCAAUAAUAAAAAAAAGGUAAUAAUUGCCUAUAUACCCCUCAUGCGUAUGGAAAUAUCCGAUUCAUAUCCCCUACUUUUUUUUCUUUCUAACUGCCCCUCGCGUUUCACGUACUUUCAAAUACCCCCGGCGGUUAUCUCCCUGCUUAGCUUUAACUCGGGUUAAACAUUGGUUAAAUGAUACUAGAGUUAAAACCUUCUAAAAUACAUAAUUUGCCUAACCCUCUUUUAUCCUAAUCCUUAAGGUUAUCCUUUCAUUCUCAUGCCCUCCAUCUGUACUCUCCUACGCCGCGAACUUGGCGCCAUUGCGCAAUCCGUCGUCUUCAACCUCCGAUGACAGCCUUGUGGAGAGAAAUUGUUGCUUCUCCUCUAACAUUUCUACUGUUGUCCUUGUAAAAAGUACUUCUCCUCUCCUGGCCUCUUUCUCCGCUGUCCUCCGUUGAUCUUCGCCAACCAUUUUCAUUAUAGCGGUUUGGGUCCUCCAAUAGUUGUGCUAUGUGGCAGGAGAACAGGGUCACCAUUGGUGUUCUUCACAACUUUCUACGUAAAGAAAAAAAUAAGAUAUGAAAAUUUCUGUAAUGUUUUAACAUCUAGGAUUUUUUUAAUACUGCUAUAUUAAAUUAACUUCCUUAUCAUUUUAUUCUAUGAAUUAAUUUUUGGUGAUUAUGAUCUUAAUAUCUUUUGCAUGCAUUGAAAAUUCAUUAUAUAUGGGUGUUAUUUUACAUCUAGCUGUUGAUUGCAAUUUAAGCAGGAACCCAGUUAUAGAAAAUCAUUUCCAGCGAUGGCAUCAAUUAUAGACCAAUCACUUAAUCUUUUUGUGAUUUGAUCUUUAAUAUCUUUUGCAUGCAAUCGAAAUUCAUUAUAUAGGUGUUAUUUAAAUCUAGCUAUUGAUGCAAUUUCAGCACUGGCACUAAGAUCAUUAGAUGAAGCUUAUGUAUGGGGGGGUGUUUAACUUCAGUUAAAGACAAAGUUAUAACCCCAAAGAAUGCAAACUUGCUUACAUAGUUCUUAGUGAUAAAAUAAAUAUAAAAAAGUUUUAUUGGAGAUAUCAAAUAAAAAUGUGGGUCUUGGGGAGAACAAGACAUAGCAAGUGGCUUAUAAAUCAAAGAAAGAACCAAAGAGAGAAGCUCAAAAUUACAUAUCGAUAUUAACAGCAUACAAGUGAUUUCUAUAUAUGUCUAGACAAUCAACGAAUUGGUACACGAGAUAGCAAAUAUUUGUUACUAUUAGUAAUACAUGCAUAACACACUUUUAAUCAAUGUCAGGAUGUAGCCGAGAAUAUCUGAAAAGGUAAUGUCGAGGUUGAAGAUGAUGUUAAAUUGCACGAAUGUAGCUUGAGAAGAAGAUUGAUGUUCAAUAAUUGAGAAUGUAGCUGUUGGAAGAGAUAAUAUUGGAGAUGAAGAUGGUUGAUAUAAUGGUGUUAGAAGAUGCGUGUUGGAGAGAUGAAGGUUGUACCUUGAGGGAAAAAUAGUGUUGAAGAUGAAGGUGGAGCUAAUCUAGAGAACUGAUUAUAUGCUGUAGAUGAAGGUGUGGUAGGACAGCUCUAUGGGUUGAGAUGAAGGUGGGAACCAUCUAGAAGGGCUGAUUAUGAUGCUUGUAGAUGAAGGUGUUGGCAGAUAGAAGGUGUAGCUGAGGGGAGUAGAUGAAUCAGGGAUAAAUCCUCUACUUAAAAAUUUUGAAAAAAUUUUUAGGCUUCGUCUAUUUGAAACUUGAACUCAAGGUGGAGAUGAGUUAGUUUAUGACAAUGGAGAUCCACAUUACGUGGACUUGGUGUGAAGUAUUCUGAAUUGUCACUUCCCUUUAAGAAGUGGCUCUUUCCUUUCGCUGGUCCAAAUCAAUUUCCGAAUACAACGGUUAUUAAAAGUGGAUCAUCUAGACUGACUGCAAAUAUGUUACGACAGAAGGUUGGUGGGGUGGAGAAUCACUACGCAGGCAAGGAUUCAGGAGAAGCUACCUCUUUUCAGGUAAAGUUAAGUAAUUGUAAUUGUAUAUGUCUUAAUAUUACUUAACUCAAUUAUUUUCUUUCAAUCUAUUUAUUGACGAGAUCAAAACUCUCUAAUCGAGCAUACGUGUGAAUUGUCAAUAGGUGUGGAAACAGAAUGCUACGAAAGAUGGAUGCAGAAAGAAUCAUUAAUUGGCUAAAUAAAUGAAAGGUGAUAUAGCCUGUGAGUGAAUUGUCUAGAUAAACUUAAAGAGCUAGUUAUGCAAGGUUAGGAGUUGCCCAUAUUUAAGGUGUGGAUAGGGCAAGGAGCUCGCUAUUGAGCCCACUUACAUGGAAAUUAGGGAUCUAUCAUUCUUAAGAGUUUUUGAUUUUUUGUUGAUGAGAUUAGCGAGAGAAAUGUAGCAAGUUCAUAUACAGAUAAAUGAUACGACUUGGAGGGUAAACAACAUUUUCAGCGAAUGUUUAUUGCUUUUGGGGCUAGUAUUCAAGGUUUUCUAAGAGGGUGUAGGCCAUAUGUCGGUUUAGAUGGAGCUCAUCUUAAGGGUAAAUUCAAAGGGAUUAUUGUUUCAGCAAUUGCAUUGGAUGGAAACAAUUCAGUGUUUCCGGUUGCAUAUGGUGUGGUUGAGUCAGAAAAUGCAGAAAGUUGGGAAUGGUUCCUGGUAGCUCUCAAGGAAGCUAUAGGUUGUCCUAAUGGUUUGGUUCUAUCCAGUGAUAGGCAAAAAGGCUUAGAUAAGGCCCUUCUAGCUGUCUAUCCUACUGCUGAACAUCGUGAAUGCAUGCGUCACUUAUAUAGUAACUUCAAGAAACGAUUUCGAGGAGAUAUUUUGAAGAAACAUCUAUGGGGAGCAGCUAGGGGAUAUACAAGUUCAGCAUUUCAGUACCAUAUGGAAAGGGUGCAGAUGGCAGAUAGUAGAGUGGUUGAUUACUUAAGAGAGAAUCAUGGUCAUGUAUGGAGUCGCUCUUUAUUUGGAAUAGAUGCUAAGUGCAAACAAGAAACCAAUAAUAUCUCUGAGACUUUUAAUUCUUGGAUCAGUAAAGAAAGGAAUAGACCAGUGAUAGAUAUGAUGGAUGCCAUACGACAGAAAAUAAUGAUUAUGAUGAACAAAAGAAGAAGAGAUGGAGCAAAAUGGUCAACAAAGCUUGUACCAGGAGCAACUAAGCAUAUCAACAAUUUGACCAAGGUAAAUAUAAAAACCUGCUUAUUGUUUCUUACUAUAAAUUAUUUCUAAACAAGCAAACUUACAAACUUGUAUUGUGUUAAUGCUAGGAUCUUGAAAAUUAUAGUGUUGAGGUGCAGUGAUGAGCAUGUGGAGAUAGAAGGGCCUAAUUCAAGAUGUGAUGUAAGGUUGGAUGAGAGAACAUGCACAUGUAGAAGAUGGCAAGUCUCCGGAUUGCCCUGUGUACAUGCAAUUGCUUUUAUAGCUAAGAUGAAAGUCAAUGCUGAAGAUUAUGCAUCAUCAUACUUCACUGUGGAGAGGUAUCGAGAUGCCUAUUCAUUAAAUAUUAAGCCAUUGCCUGCCCAAGAGGAAUGGAAAAAGAGUGAUAUAGGUUUUAGUGUAUUGCCACCUAUAUUAGCAAGACCUGCUAGCAGGCCACGAAAAAGAAGAAUAAGGGGAGCAGGAGAGAUGAUUAAGAGAAAACACAAAUGUGCUAGAUGUGGUGGUUUUGGCCAUCAUGCAAGAACUUGGUAAGAAUACUGUUCCAGUAGCAGGUUCUAGCCAACAAUCUAGAAGGUAAUUUAUUUCUUUCAACCUACUAUAUUAUCUUUCAUAUGUAACACACUGGACCUAUGCAAAUUGCGGGGUUCGAGUGUUUGGACAGUGUCUCGAGUUUUUCCAGACUUUCUGGUGGGUCGUUGACAGUGUUCCGACCUAUGGCUCGCAUCCUGAGAAUCGUGGUAUUUUAUGUAGUGCUAAGGUCACCAAAAAGUUGGACUUAGCCUACCCUCGGAUUGCAUUCUGCACAAGGUGUACCGGUACACUCUUGAUGGCCGUACCGGUACACACUUUGUACCGGUACGCACUUGAUGGUUGUACCGGUACACUUGUGGCAAAUUGCGAACCCGAGCCUCGGGUUUGCAUUUUCGUAGGAUGUGUACCGGUACAGUUUCCCGUGUACCGGUACACUUUCCCGUGUACCGGUACACUUUGGCAGAAUCUGAACAGUUUGUUCUGCAGGGGGUUUUUCGCAAUUGUGGGCUUCUUAUAUCAGCACCCACGCCCCUAGGGCUCUCCCCUGGGCUGAGAAGAGUGGGGAACCAGGUAGGGCACCUCUCCCUUUCACCCCUUUUGGAUUUGAUCUCAUUCUAGCUUGGAUUUUGAUGGUUUUUCCCUCUCUUUUGCCUAUUGGAGCUAUUUCCACCAUUUUUGAAGCUUGGAGCUUGGGUUUGGAGUUUGAUUGAGGGAAGAUACUUGAAGUUUGAGGACUUUGAGCUUGGUUUGAAGCUUUCUAGAGGUAAGUGACUAGAUCUUUUCCUCUAGAUUUGAAUUUUAGAGAUUUUCUUGAGAUGAAACCCUAGAUGAGGUUCUAGGGCUUAUAUUUGGGCCUUUUUGAUCUAGGGCUUUUGGACCAAAAUUGAUUGGAUUAGAACCUUCCUCUAGGAUAGAUUGGAAGGGAUUUAGCUCUCUUUUGGAGCUUGAGAGAGAUUUUCCAUACAUUGGGUAAGUUUUAGCCCUUUUGCUAAAAUUGUUAAAGUUUGAUCUUAUAAAUGAUCGUAAUGCCCGUGUAUCUCGUCGCUCAUUACUUUUAGGGUAAUUUGAGACUCGGGGACAACUUUGUUCGGCGGAUGGAGACCCUACGCGACGGUUCGGUGGGUUUAACCUAGCUUACAUAUGAGAAAUGCUCAUAUAUGGUUAUUUAUGUUCCGCAAAUUGAAAAAGCAUGCAUAUUCUUAUUAUAUACAUUUAUUAUGAAUUUUAGAAUGCUUAAAAGGCCUAUAUUAUAUAUGUUGAAAUUUUGGACCUCUAUGUAGUAGAGAGUAGCUUGGUAGGCCUAUAGUUGCAUUUAGCAUUCUAUAUGAGACGUGAGUUCAUGCUUCUAUAGUGUAAAUGAGUUUUGGAUCAUGCAUUUAAACUUAAGUUUAUUUGAGACAUGAAAGAUGACAAAAUUGCCAUAUAGAGGUAUUGAACUAGAAUGUAUGUGAACUAGAGAGCUGAUGUCAUCAAGCGGCAUUGAGCUCGGGACAUGUGUGAACCUAGUGAGUAGGGCCUUCGAGGGAUUUGGGUUACAUGUUGGACACCAAAUUGCCUAAGUGUCAUCAAGGGGUACUAGGCGUGGCAAAUGCUAAAACUUCACAUUGUGACUUAGACUGGAUCUUCGGGAUGCUAGUUAUGAUACCAUGUUAGAGACAUGAGGAUUGGAUAUUUGAGACUUGGACUACGCUUGCUUGCCAUUUGUGCUCAUUCGCACAUGCUUGUGAGGGUCGCUCCCUACAAGCCGGCACUCCGGAGUUAGCCUACGCGACUACGUUCGCUCGUGCGGUAUUGAGAAGCCUACGGGGUCGAGUGGGACAGACACAUUCCAAGAGUAGGGAUGUUGGGCUACCACAGGCACUUAGGCGGCACAAGCUGGACUACCUUGAGUAGGUCCUUAAAUUGGAAAUGAAAAUCGACACGGUGUUGUAUAUGGACUAUCACUACUAGAUAGGAUUAGUAGUUGGAUUACUUGGACACGCUUACGAUAUAGCAUUAGUACAUUUAGUACACUUGCCGGUUUCAUUAUUGCAUCGUAGUAUACUCGGUUGUUUGGGUAGAGUUUACCCUUAUGCAUUGACAUAUGGCAUCGCGAGGUUUACUUGCUUUUUAUGUUGAGACAUAUUGGUAUGCAGCGGAUAUAUUACCUUAUGAUAGCGUAGAUGUACAUUACCAUAUCAUCAUGCUUAUUGGAGACAUAGUAGCAUAGCAUUUCAUUCAUGCUUCCUUCAGCAGUUUCGUGUUCGCUAUUUAUUGCUAUUAUUAUUGUACUUACCCUCUUCUUUUGGGGCCUAGUGGUGCAUUGAGCUGAGGUCAGUAAUUGUCCACUGGGAACUAUAAAUUAUAGUUCUCAUGCCCUCUUUUUCUCGAUGUUUUACAGAGCCUUCCACUCAGGGUGAGGCCAGGGAUCGCGGGAAGGGAGUUGCUUCGAGCUAGCUUCCUUCGAGGACGAGUUGCUAGGUGGUCUACCUCUCGAUUUUUGUUCCCUUUUGCGAGAGGUUGAGAGUUCUACCAGUGUAUUAGAGACCACCGUUUUUAUACUUUUGAGACAGAUAUUGUACUACUUAUGACUUCUUUUAUUGUCCAGCUUUACUUCUUUACCUUGGUGUAGAUGUUAGAACUUUACUCGCUCUGAUAUCAUUAGCUGCUCAUUAUUUCACUUCUUCUAUUUGUUUUAUUACUUGCUUUUACUUCCGCUUUUAUUGUAGACGCCUUAUAUGUGUAGACAUAUGGCGGGUCUGGGCACGCUACUGGGAGGGCCUCCGCCGGUCCCGGGGCGUGACAUCAUAUUUUUCACUAGUUUCAAUAUCUAGAUAUAGUAAUCAUGAACUUCUUUUCCAGCAACAUAAGAAGAAAAAAUAGUGGAUCGCAACAACAAGAGCACGAUUCUGAACAUGCGGCAGCAGCGAUAUCACAGCAACAAAAAAGGUUAUUUCAUGAUGCUACAUCUUUCCAUCAAGCUAUUAUCUUAUCUUUCAUUUUUCUUAUAAUCUUAAUUUAUAUAAUUAGUGACUUUAAACUUCGAUUUCAGUAAGAAAAGGAAGAGAAAUAGUGGAUCGCAGCAGCGAGAGCUAGCUCAAGAUGUAGCAGCAGGGGUAGUACAGCAGCAAAAGGGCAAUACAGCAUCUUCAAGGUAAAUAUAUUUCCGUACAGCAUCUUAGUCUUAAGUGCUAAAUUCAGUGACUUUAAACUUCAUUUUUAGGAAGAAAAGAAGGAAAAUUAGCGGAUCGCAGCAGCGGGAGUUAGAUUCUCAAGUUGCAGCAGAAACAUCACAGCAAAAUGCUGCAAUUCUCUAUUCACAACAGGGUUCAACCAUUUCUAGCAUUGAUGCAAAUAGAUUGCUAGGUUGAGAAUACUCUGUUAUUUUUUCGAUGAAUGUUCUGUUAUUUUUUGAAUGAAUGCUCUGUUAUUUUUUGGAUGAUGAUGACCCUAUUUUUUUUAGAUGAUGAUGGAUGAUGAUGGCCUGUAAUUUUUUGACUGAUGAUGACCCUGUUAUAUUUUGGAUGUGAUGACUUAUAUUUUGGAGCUUGAAUGAUAUUAUUGUUAUUCAUGAUACAAUUGUUAUUCAUGAUGACUUAUAUUUUUGGAUGAUGAUGGAAUUGUUGGUAUACAAUUGUUAUUCAUGAAAGUUCUGCUAUGAUGUAAUCCAAGUAAUUGCAAAUAUUGAAUGAAUGCUUUAAAUAAGAUAUCCUACAUAAUAAUACUUCUUUAACAGAGAUAAACUAUUGUAAUUGCAUCCUGUAAACCAACCCAAUUACAUGAAAAUUAUAUAAUACUCCAUCACAUCCUGUAUUAUAUAGUCCAUCAUAUCUAAAAUACUCCCCUUAUCAGUAUAUCAAGGAUUACAAUACAAAAAAGUAAUUUAAGCCAAAAUAGAACUUUCACUUCCAUCCUUUGAAUUUUUUGCUCAGUGGCUUCUCCAAUUGCUUUUAACUGAUAUAUAUAUUAUAUAUAUAUAAUAAUAUUAUAUAAAUUAGUGUUUUAAUUAUAUAAAUUUUAAUUUAAAAAAAUUUAACUUUCAUUUUUUUUGUUUUUUAGUUUUUCGGAUGCUGUCUUUAGGCCUUCCUUUUACAUGAAGAAGUUUUUACUUCUUUGGAGAACAAGAUUUAAUCAGCAAUUUGAAGACCAUUAAAUCAUCCUCAAUCGCAAGUUUGUUCCUAAUUUGAAAAUAUGAUUUUCCCUUUCUUUUCCUCUAUAAAAUUAUUUAUCAAUUAUUGUUUGCAAGUUUUGAAUUAGAUCUCCGAUAAUAUUUCUCAGUUCGGAGAAAGAUUCAUGGUUUCAAUUUAGUUGUUUCAUCUUUUGAGAAUGAAAUAAUUCUUUAAUUUACUAUUUCUUAAUUACAUUAAUCGCUUAUUAUUAAUUAUAUUAAAUAAUUAUAUAUAUAAUAUAUAUAUAUAUAUCUAAGUUGUUUUGUGAUAAGUUUUUAUUUUUCUUUUUUUUUUUAUUGAUGGAUAACUUUUUAUUUCUACUUGGUAGCGUUCUAUACGUUUCCGUCCGCUGCGAAAGCGGCGGGUCUCUUACACUAGUAUAUACCUUAUUCUUGGUGAACAUUAACUACCAAGAACUCUCAUUCUCCUCCAUAAUGUUUUUACGUAGGAAAUGCGUAUAUACCCUUACAAUAACUUCAUAAAAUAUCUUGAUUUAUCCCCGACUAUUUUUCUUUUUUUUCAUUUUCUAAUAUACGCCCUCAUAUGUUCCUUCCCCUCCUACUGCCGUUAUUCAAAAUACCCGUAUUACACCUCUUAAGUAAUCAUUGGGUUUAAACGUGAGCUAAAUAUCCUACUAGUUUAUUUGCCGACCCACUAUUUGUCCUUAAACUUAAGGGCAAAUAGAGAAAUGUUUGUGAUCUAUGAGGAAAAAACAAAUACCUUUUGUGCCCAUGAACUUUAAGGCUAAUAAAUAAUAAAAGGGAUAGAUUGCCGCUAUUAAACCAUACCCCUCAUGCCGUAUGGAAUAUCGAUUACCCCUACUUUUUUUUCUUUCAAAUGAUGCCCCUCGUGCGUUUUAACGUUAUUUUCCAAGAUUACCACUGCACGUUUCCCUCUGUUAGCUUAAACCUCGGUUAAACCAUUGUGUUAAAUGUAUACUAAGAUUUAAAUACAUCUAAAAAUUACAUAUUUUGCCCCCCUACCUCUUUAUCGCUAAUUAACCCUUUAAGUUUACUCCUUCUCAUUCUCUCCCCUCACGCAUCUUUAACUACACCUCUAACGCCAAGUUGGCGCAUUGCACCCUGCGUCUCAAUCCUAGAUGAGCACCUUGUUGGAGAGAAAAAUUGUUGCUCUCCCUCUACCAUUUUCUCUCUGUUUCCUUGUAAAAGUACUUCCCUUCUCCGCUGCUCUUUCUCCGCUGUUCCCCGUUGAUCUUCGCUCAACCAUUUCCAUUAUUUAGUGGAUUUGGGGUACCGAUAUAAUUCGUGCUACUGUUGGCAGGAGAACAGGGGUCAACAUUGUGUUCUCCAUUUCUACGUAAGAAAAAGAUGAGAGAUUUCAUGAAAAUUUUGUAAAUUUUUACAUCUAAUUUUUUUAAUUCAUGCUAUAAUUAAUUUAACUUCUUAUCAAUUUAUUCAUGAAUUAAUUAUUUUGAUUGAUCUUUAAAAAUCCAAAAUCUUUUGCUAGUGCAUUGAUUGCAUUAUAUGUGGUGUAUUUUAAAUCUAGCUUUGAUUUGCAAUUUAAGCAUUGGCAUCCAGAUUAUUAGAAAAUCACUUCUUCAGGCAUGAGCAUGCAGAUAUUAAUAAAUCACAUUUAAUUUUUUGUAUUUGAUCUUAAUAUCAUUUUGCUAUCGCAUCGAAAUUCUCAUUAUAAUAUUUGUGUUAGUUUAAUUCUACAUUUGAAUUGUCAAUUUCAGCUAUGGCACUAGAUAUAUUAGAUUUGAAAAGUUACGAUAUGGGGGGGUGUUUUAAACGUCAGUUAUAGACAAAAGUAGGACAAAAUAAUGUGUAUGGAAUGAGCAAAACUUGCUACACAUAGGCUUUAGUGAAUACAUAUUUUAAAAGAAUUGUUUUGAGAAGAAAUAACAAAAAUAAUAUGUGGUUGGGAGAACAGAAUAUGUGCAGUGGCUUAUAAAUAAGGAGAAGACCAAAGAGAAGCCUCAAAAAGUUUAUUGAAUUAAAGAUGAAAGUGAUUCUCUAUUAUAUUGUUAGAUCCAAUUCACAGAUGUACAAGCGAAUGAAUAGAAAAAUUUUGUUACUAUUAGUUCCGACUGGCAUCUCCUUUUAAUUUAAUUCAGGAUGUAGCUGAGGAUUGGAUAGUUUAGGGGGAAGUUUGAGGUGUGAAGCAAUUGAAAAAUGUUAGAAUUGAGAAUGUAGCUGAGGAACCGGAAGAUAAUGCUUAGAAUUGAGAAGUAGCUGUGGAAGAUAGAAAUGUUUGGAAGUAUGAAAUUGAAUAUACAUGGUGUAGAAGAUCUGUUUGAGAAUGAAGUGUACCUGAGGAAUAAUAUAGUUGUUAAAGAUGAAGUGAGCUAAUCUAGAGACUGAUUAUGAUCUGGUAAGAUGAGGUUUGGAAGACACAGCAUAUGGUGUUAGAUGAAGGUGAACCAUCUAAGGCUGAUUAUGAGCUGUAAUGAAGUGUUGAAGAAGAAGGUGUAGCUGAGGGAGUAGAUGAAAUCAGAUAAAAAAUCCCUCUACUAAAAAAUUUGAAACAGAUUUAAUGCUUUAGUUUCUAUGAAUACUCGACAUCAGGUGAGAAUGCAGUUAGUUAUUGACAAAUGAGAUCCAAUUGUGGACUCACGGUGUAAGAGUUCCUGAUGUCCAUUCAAUUUAGAAGUGCUCAUUCUUCCAAUUCGCUGUCCAAAAUCAAUUCCAAUACAAGGGUUUAUAUUAAAAGUGAUCAAAAAUCUAUGAGUGACUGCAAGAUGUACGACAGAAGUUGUGGUGAGAAUUGAACACGCCACCCAAGGGAAAGAAACUAAUCCGUUCAGCGUAAAUAAGGUAAAUGUAAUUCGGCUACUUAGUCUAAUAUUACUUAAACUCAUAAAUUAUUAUCUUUCAAUCUAUUUGUAGUUGACACGAAUCAAAACGUCUUCUAAUCAAGCAUACGUGUAAUUGUCAAUAGGUUUGGAAACAAGAACGCUACAAAAGGAUGGAAUUGCAGAAAAGAUCAUUAAAUUGCUAAAAAAAGUGAAGGUGAAUACCUGUGAUGAAUUGCAGAAAACCUUAAACAGACAGUAAUGCAAGGUUAGAGUUUCCUAUUAAGGGUGUGGAAGGCAAGGGAGCGUGCUGCUAUGACCCAAUACACUGGAAAGUACGAUCUAGUCAUUCAUUUAAGAGUUUUGUUUUUUGUGAUGAGAUUUAAGCAGAAGAAAGAUGUAGGGCAAUCAUAUACACGAAUUAAAUAUAGACUUUGGCAGGGUAAACACAUUUCAGCGAAAUGUUUAAACUUGGCUUAUUGGGGCUAGUAUACAAGGUUAUUGCUAAGAGGUGAUUAAGGCCCAUUAUGUGCGUUUAGAUGGAAGCCUCUAUCUUAAAGGGUAAAAUUUCAAAGGGAUAUUGUUUCAACAUUGCAUUGGACUGGAAACAAUCUCAGUUUUUCCGGUGCAUUAUGGUGUGGUGAGUCCAGAAAAUGCAGAAAUUUGGGAAAUGGUUACCUGGUAGCUCUUCGAGGUAAGCUUAUGGUUGUCCUAAUGAUUUUGGUUCUAUCCAGUAGAUAGUCAAAAAGGCUUAGAUGAAGGCCCACUUCAGCUCGUCUAUCUAUGCUGAUGAACAUCGAGGCAAUGCAUGUUCACCCUUAUAUAGUAAUUCCAAAAUACGCAUUUCGAGAGAUAUUUUGUAAGAAACAUCUAUGUGGGAGCAGCUAGGGGAUAUACAAUUCAGCACACAAUUUCAGUAUCCAUACAAAACACUGGGAAAGGUGCAGAUGGCAAGAAUAGUAGAUGGGUAUUGACUUCUUAAGAGAGAAAUCAGGGUCCAAUGUAUGGAUCCGCUUUUUCAUUUGGAAAGAUGAUCAAGGCAGAACAAAACCAAAUAAUAUCUCUGAGCACUCUUUAAUUCUUAGAAUUCAUAAAGAAGAAAGGAAAUAGACGCAGAUGAUAGAUAUGAUGGAUGCCGAUACACAGAAAAUACAGAUUAUGAUAAAAAAGAAGAAGAAGAUGGAGGCAAAAUGGUCAACAAACUUGGUCCACGGAGCAAACUCAAGCAUACAACAAUUAUCCGUCAAGGUAUAAUAUAAAACCAAAACCUGCUGAAUUGUUUCUUACUAUAAAGUUAUUCCUAACAGCCAAACCUUCACAAACUUGUAUUGUGUAAUGCAGGACUUGAAAUAUAGUAGUGAUGUGCAUGUGAGAGCAUUCGUGGAGAUAGAAGUGCCUAAUCAAGAUGUGAUGUAGUUGAUGUAGAGAACAUGCAUCCAUGUUUAGAAGAGAUGGCAAGUCUCCGGAUUGCGCCUGUGUACAUCAAUCUGCUUUUAUAGCUAAAGAUGAAAGUCAAUGCUGAAGAUUAUGCAUCAAAUCAUAACUUCACUGUGGAGAAGGAUCGAAUGCCUAUUCAUAAAUAUUAAGCCAUUUGCGCCCAAGAGGAAGGAAAAAGAGUGAUAUACGGUUUUAGUGUAUUGGCCACCAUAUAUUUAGCAAAACGCUUGCAGCAAGGCCACGUAAAAGAUAGAAUAAGGGAGCAGGAGAGAUUUAUUAAGAGAAAACACAAAAUUGCUAAGAUGUGUGGUUUGGGCGCAUCAUGCAGAAGAAUCAUUGUAAGAAUACCUGUUCACAGGGUAGCAGUGCUAGGCCAAACAAUCUAGAAGGUAAUCCUUAUUUCUUUCAACUACUAUAUAUCUUUGCAUAUCGUAACACAACUGGACCUAUGCAAAUUGCGGGGUCGAGUGUUUCGGACAGUGUCCAAAGUUUUUUUUUUUUUCCACGACUUUCUGGUGUCGUCUGCACGAUGUUCCCCGACCGUAUGCUCGCAUCCUGAGAAUCGUGGUAAUUUUAGUACGUGCUAAAGGUUCACACAAAAGAGUUUGGACUUAGCCUACCCUCUGAUUGCAUUUCUGCACAAGGUUACCGGUACACUCUUGAUGGCCGUACCGGUACAUACUUUGUACCACGGGUACGCACUUGGGUUGUAACCGGUACAACUUGUGCAAUUGCGAAACUCUGAGUCACUCGGUUAUGCAUUAUUCGGUAGGAUGUGUACGCGGUACUGUUUCCCUGUACCGGUCACUAUUCCCGUGUACCGGUACACUUUGGCACAAUCUAGAACAGUUUGUUCUGCCGGGGUUUUUCGCAUAGAUUGUGGUGCUCUAUAUCAGCACCCACGCCCCAGGUGCUCUCCCCUGGGGCCUGAGAAAGAGUGGCUGAACCAGGUAGGGCAUCCUCCUCCCUUUUCACCCUUUGGAUUUCGAUCUCCGUUCCCCAAUCAGCUUUGAUUUUGAAUGGUUUUUCCCUCUCUUUGCCUAUUGGAUCUAUUUCGCACCAUUUUGAACUUGAGCCUUGGGUUUAGAGUUUGAUGAGGGAAGAUACUUGAAGUUUGAGGACUUUGAGAGUGGUUGAAAGCUUUCUAAGGUAAGUGACUACGAUCAUUUUCCUCUAGAUGUUGAAUUUUAGAGAUUUCUGAGAUGAAACCCUAGAUGAGUUCUCCGGGCUUAGUAUUUGGGCCUUUUUGAUCUAGGGUUUGGACCAAAAUGAUGAUUAGAACCUCCUUAGGAUAGAUUGAAGGGAUUUCGUGCUCUUUUCGGAGCUUAGAAAUUUUCCAUCCAUUGGGUAAGUUUUAGCCCUGUUGCUAAAAAUUGUAAAGUUUUGAUACUGUAUAAAAAUGAUCGUAAUCCCGUAAGUAUCUCGUAAAGCUGCCAUCUACUUUUAGGUAAAAUUGAGAACUCUGGACAACUUGUUGCGCCCGGCAAAAAUUGGAACCAUAGCCGACGUUUACGGUGGUUAACCUAGCUACCAUAGAUAAAUGCUCUAAUAUAGGUUAUUUAUUUCCGCCAAUUGAAAAAAGCAUGCAUAUUCUUUAUUAUAAUAUCAUUUAUUCUUGAAUGUUAGAAUGUUUAAAAAAAGGCUAAUAUUCAUAUAUGUGAAAUUUUGGGACCAUCUACUGUAAUGUAGAGAGUAGCUUGUAAGGCCUAUAGUUGCAUUUAGCAAUUCUACUAUAGAUCGUGAGUUCAUGGCUUCUAUAAUGUAAAGAAGUUUUUGCGAUCAUCGCAUUUUUAAACUUAAGUUUAUCUGAACAGAAAGAUGACAAAUUUGCCAUAUAGAGGUAUUGAACUAGAAUGUUAAUGUGAACAGAGCUGAGUCAUCCAAGCGUCAUUGAGCUCCCGGGCAUAUAUAUAUAUAUAUAUAUAUAUAUAUAUAUAUAUAUAUAUAUAUAUGUAUGUAUACAUAUGUAUAUGUAUGUAUACAUAUGUAUAUGUAUGUAUACANAACAGUCUGGUCUAGCCUGCGCCCACCUCAUGCCCGGUUACAAGUCUCACCGGUGAUCCACCAACAUGCAGGCUAUCUAGCUUGUUUAUGUCAACUGCAACGCCUCCAAUCAAUCAUAUUGACAACCAGCCAAAAACUUUGCUAUUCACGGAAUUGAGUACUGAUACGCGGGUUUUAGUUCCAGUACACCACUCAUUGAAUUCCGAUACUCCAGCCAAUUCUGCAAAAUCCAAACAUUGGAUUUCUCUGUUUUUUAUUAUUUACUAGUAUCUGCCUAUUUUCGUACCUGUAUGCAGUGUUUCAGUACUAGUACUUAGGGGAGUUUCAUAGAACUCAAGAGCUCUCCCAGCCUCCUCAUAGCUUAGUAUCGAUACUCUACUGUAGUACCGAUAUUAAAUAAAAAUCUACAAUUUGCAUAUUUAUCUCUUCAGAGUCCAUUUACGUGCCAUUUUUUUCACCGAAAAUACUCUGAUGCUUCCCAAAAACCAAUGAGGUUUAACUAGAUAGUUUCCAUUCUUAUUUCUCACUAGAACUUAAUUAUUUGCAAAAGUUCAAAGUAUUACAUUCUUCCUCCUAAUAGAGAGUUUCGUCUACAAAACUUGAAUUUCAUACCCAAAAGAGAUAAGAAAAUGCUCACGGAUCAUGCUCUCAAGCUCCCAAGUAGCUUCACGCUUCUUAUGAUUGCUCCACAACACUUUGACAAAUGGGAUGGAGUGAUUUUGCAAUACCUUCUCUUAUCAGGUGAGGAUGCUAACUAGGUACUCGUCAUUACUCAAAUCCUCCUGCAAAUCUAGUAGUGGAUAGCUAAUGACAUGUAUGGGAUUGAAAAUAUACUUGUGGAGUUGAGACAUGUGGAACACGUCGUGUACUCUUGCUAAUCGCGGGGGAGCACAAUCCGAUACUCCAUUGGGCCAAUUCACUCCAACACAUCAAAUGAUCCAAUGUAGUGAGGAAUCAAUUUCCCCCGCAUCCCAAAAUGUUUUACUCCUCUCGUGGGAGAGACCUUCAAAAACACAUGGUCCCCAAUGCUAAACUUCAAAUGACAUUGGCGUUUGUUGAAAUAGUUCUUUUGCCGGCUUUGCACCUUCAACAAUCUUUGGCACAUAAUACAAACCUUCUCCUUGGCCUCUUGCACUAUGUCUGAAUCCACGGUAGAUUUCUCAUCAACCUCACUCCAAUGCAAUGGAGACCAACAUUUCCUUACAUACAAUACUUCAUAUGGUGCCAUUCUGAUGCUCACUUGGAAGCUAUUGUUGUAGGUGAAUUCCGCUAUUAGCAAAUUCUUGUUCCACCCGGUUCAUUGUUGAGGACGCAUGCCCGCAACAUAUUCUUGAGAAUUUGAUUUGUUCUCUUAGAUUGUCCAUCACUUUGUGGGUGAUAUGCCGUAUUGAAAUCAAGGCACGUCUUACGAGUCUCGUGUAGAUUCUUCCAAAAUUGCGAUACGAAUAAAGAAUCUCCAUCCGUGACAAUCCAUACUGGCACUGAGCCACAUAACAUCCAACAUCUCCUUUCAUUCAGAGCCACCAAGAAUGUGUUUUCACGUUCUUAUAUAUUUUGGUGCCACUCGGGUGUAUGGUAUAUGGAGAUCAUUGUGUUCCCUUGAGAUUUUCUUCCAGAUUUUCAGCUUAUUGGGCACACACAAUCUACCCCAAAACCGCCAGACUCCAUUGGAGUCCAUACUAAAGUCCUCCCUUGCUGUUGGAUUGCAUCGUUUUUUGUUUCACAUCCAAUUCUUGUUUUUCUCUAAUCCUAUCCAACAAGAUUGGUUGUACUCUAAGUCUCGUAAGUUUUACCAAGAAACCGGAUGCAACAACCUCCAAUUAUCACCUUUUCUUGUAGCUCCACUUGGCUCGUGAUCAACAAUGUUAGGUUUUUCAUGGAUUUUCGACUUAGCAUAUCCACUACCAUAUUUUCCUUCCCAAGGUGAUACAAAAUGGUGACGUCGUAGUCCUUCAAUAGCUCUAACCAUCUAUCCCACUUCAUACUCAAUUUCUUCUAGAUAAGUAAAUACUUGAGGCUCACGUGGUCUGUAUAUAUUAUGCAAUGGUAGCCAUGAAGAUAAUGCCACCAUAACAUCAAGAUGAAAAUCAAUGUGGCUAACUCUAAGUUAUGGGUAGGGUAAUUCUUUUUAUAACUCUUCAACUGUUGAGAGGCAUAGGUUAUCACCUUCUCCUUCUGCAUCAAGACACACCAAAGGCCAUUUCAGAAUGCAUCAAUAUACACCACAAAUUUCUUUGCUGCUGUAGGUAAGACGAGAAUUAGAGUCUGCCACGCCCCGUAACCACCAAUUUGGUCGGUUGGGGUACGUCGAACAAACACCGAAUGCACACAACCUCUCCUGUCUGCCCAAGGCUCAACAACAACAAUCAUGUACAUAUAGUUGCCCCGGAAACAUUAACCACAUACAUGAUUCAUUGCAAGUAUAAACAAGCAAAAGCGAAAGAGAGAGUACUAGCUAUUACAUUUUUAUUCAACCAUUUUCAUCAUUGGAUUACAUUUUCAUCUCCAAAAUGCAUACAUUAGGUUUACAUGUUCAUCUCAUGACAUAUGUAUACAACUCUCCAAAAGCAUCCUCACCAAAUGUACAUCAUCAUCUCUCAAGUACAUAGGGUGCUCUAAUACAAAAAGGAAAGCUACUAACUACUAGGGCGCUAUGCCCUUACCACGAUCCUCGCCCGGUCUGCUCGAGCUCGGCCCUGCAACAAAGUGGGAUGAGAAGUAAUAAUAGUUCCGAGUGAAUUUGGCCACCGAUUCCGCCGAUCUUCCCACUAGGUCUAAGCAGGCAUGAGUAGAUAGAUAGAUAGAUAGAUAUGAUAAAGAAACUGCUAGCAUAGUAUGAAUUCUACUAUUAUGCUACUAUGCCUUGAUCAACAUGAUCUAAUAAAUGCUAACUCUACAUAGCAAUGAGUUCAACUAUCAUGCUACUAUGCUUCAACAAUAUCAUAAAUAAAGAUAUGCACAUAGUUAGGACAAAUCUACUAACAUGUCUCUAUGUUCAUGUCAUGGUAUGAAUGCAUGAUCUACUAUGCCAUUCAUUCACUUGCUAUCCAAUCUGCUUGGCUAACCCGAAGAUUACGCCCCGACUCACUUCUCAAAAUCUCAUAGGUGAGGAGAAUCUGCACUCGCACAUCGAGACCGUCUGGGGGAUAACUAAGUUCGCCCCUAUCGUGAAGUACUCCAGAGACCACUGCUUGGGUGGAGCGACCACCAACAAGCGAAAACAGACUAAGUGAGUAUGAUCCAAUUCUCACAACUUGAAGAUACCCUAUCUACAAAAAUCAUAGUGCUUCUACCGCACUAGUUUCAAAUGCACAUGUCGACAACUUGGGGAAAUCUACUAUCCCUAUGUUCAUCAUGUCAUAAGUGUUUCUACUACACUAAAUUCACAUGUAACUCAUUCAUGUCGUUAUGUUUUGCAAGUGUCUCUACUAUACUAAAUCAUAUGCCACUCGUUUAUAUAAUCAUGUUUAAGUGCCUCUACCACACUAGUUUACAUGCCACUCAUUUACAUAAACAUAUUGUCCAAGUUCACUACUUGUUCUUGUCACUAUAGGAUUCAAUGUCACAACCCAAUCCUCAUGCAUUCACUAGAUUAUGUGUUCAACCCACAAUUUCUAUUCUACCAUGGAAGCAUGCAAAGAAUUGAAGUACAACUACUCAACACAUCCUAUAAUGCAAGAUUUCAUAUAUAUAUAUAUAUAUAUAUAUAUAUGUUUGCUCAACAAUACAACUUGGACAUAGGAAGAAGUCCGAUUGCUUCAGACAGCACCCCCCACCUUUUGGUGAGGCCGCGAUGCUAGGAUUCUAAUUUCGUAAUUUUUGGACGUCGCCUCAGCCCUCCAGGCGGAAACGAAGCAAAAAUGGUCCUUUUCUUCGAUUACUUGUCACCUGAUCGUAAGAACUUCGAUUUGAGUUGCCCACAACGUUAACUUUACCUUCAAUUGAAGAUACAUAGGGUCAAUUUAACCAUAAACCUUAUAUCUACGAAAACCCCAAUUUCAACCCUAGGUUUUCCAUAGCAUGAACUACAUGAGUUCAUCAUGUGAUCCCAAGGUUUUCUCUAGGUUUUCCUUCAUGUAAGAAGAUCAAAACCAAGUGUUCUAGGGUAUAAAACCAAACCCUAACCAAGUUCUUACAAGAAACCUUACCUUAGCUUAUGAACACCACAAGCUCCACCUUGUCGGAGAGCUCUUCACCUUCAAAAGCCUCAAAUCCACAUUCAAAUCCUCUCCAAUCUCCACCAAUCAUUCUUGCGAAGAAGCUUCUAGAAAGAGAGAGGAAGAAAAAAGAUGAGGAGGGGUUUUCUCAGCUUGUGAACAAGAGAGGAGGAGAUAGGGUCCUUUUCUAUGUUCAAACAAUUGCAAAUAAGCCCUCCAUUUUAUUUUAUUUGCAGCAGAUCAACCCUGCUGUUUGAGGCGCUGCGUACUUGUACGCGGGUUCAUGUCACCGAUACGCCCCUGUUCAAUAGCCCAAACCNUAUAUAUAUAUAUAUAUACAUACAUAUAUACAUAUAUAUAUAUAUAUACAUAUACACAUAUAUAUAGAGAAUAGAUACAUAUACAUAUAUAUAUAGAGAACUAGGCUGGAAUACUAUCAAUAGUACCAAGCUAUUAGUGCUAUUGAUUUUUUAGCCCUUGGAUUGAGAAAUGGGUGGUUAGGAUGAUGUGGAUCCCCUAGGGUUGAGUGAGUGGUUGGUUGAAUGCUAUAAUCUAACGGGUAAAAAUAAUCAUAGGGUUAAAUCUAACGGUGAAAAACUCGAUAGCACCAAAUCUUAGUUUGAAAUCGAUAGUACUCCAUCGUCUAAUUAUAUGAUCAUAUUAUCUAUAUAUAUAGAUAUAUAUAUAAUAUAUCUAUAUAUUAAUAUAGUAUUAGUAUAGUAAGAAUAGAAGAGAGAGUAGAGAGAGGAGAGAUAGAGAGAGUAGAGAGAUGUUAGGCUGGAAUAUCCUAUGAUAUAUACCCUUUUUGCUAUCAAGUUUUUAACCCUUGGAUCAAAAAUUAUCUUUUCGACAUCAUUUGCCUAAUGAUCAAAGAGUUUCAAAAUUUGUAAUUUUAAUGGUCAAUAUAAGGCGUUUUCUCGUUUGACAGUGUAAAGAUAUCCAAAUCAAUUGAAUUUUUUUUAAAAUUUUUUUAAAACUAUUUAAAAUAAGAUCUAUACUCUUGAUCUUGACUACAAGACUCCUAUCAUCAUUUUUUAAAGAAUAUUCAUUUUCAGCCGUUCAUUUUUGUGUCCACUCGAUGGAUAAGAGAACAAUAUCGGAAAUGUUUGAAAUUUGAUUUCUAAACACUUCAAGUGGUAUAGAUCAUGUUCAACGGUAUCGAUUGUUGAUUUAGAGGCUCUAUCAUCAAAAAUAAAUGGGUGGCAACAGAGCCUGUUGCUAUCGAUAGUUUUCUAGCCAACUCUCUCUCUCUCUAUAUAUAUAUAUAUAGAACUAGGCUAAUAUACUAUUAAUAGCACCAAGUCAUUGGUGCUACCAAGUUUUUAGCCAUUGGAUUAAUUAAGAGAUGUGCGGUUAGGAUGAUGUGGGCCCCCUAGGGUUGAGUGGAUGGUUGGUUGAAUAGUAUGAUCUAACGGGUGAAAAUGAUCAAAAUGGUAGAUCUAACGGCAGAAAACUUGGUAGCACCAAGUGCUUCGUGCUAUUAAUAGCAUAGUAGCCGGACUCUAUAUAUAUAUAUAUAUAUAUAUAUAUAUAUAGAGAGAGAGAGAGAGAGAGAGAGAGAGAGAGAGAGUCCGGCUGCUAUGCUGUCACGCCCUGCGACCGCCAAUUUGGUCGGUUCGGGUACGUUGAUCAGACGCCGAACAGAUAGAGCCUCCUCUUCCCACCCAAGGCUAACAACAACGAGAUCAUGUAUGUAAACAGUUGCCCAGGAAACAUUAACCUCAUACAUGAUCUAAGCAGGUACUAAUACAAGCAAUCAACAAAAGAGAGAAAGAUCUAGCUAUUACAAUUCCAUUCAACAUAUACAUCGAGUUUACAUUUUUCAUCUCCAAAAUGUAAACAUGUUCAUCUACGACUCCCCAAAAUACAUAUACAUCAUGUCCUCUCAUCUAUACAGGGUGUACUAAUGCAUAAGGAAAGCUGCUAGCUAAUUAGGGCGCUAUGCCCUUACCGCGGUCCUCGCCCGGUCCGCUCAUACUAUGCCCUGCAACAAAGUUGGGUGAAAACUAUAUAAAUAUAGUUCCCAGUGGGUUCGGCCGCCGACUCCGCCGAUCUUCUCACUAGGUUUAAGCAGGUAUAAGUAGAUAGAUAGAUAGAUAUGAAAAUGAGCUGCUAUAUAGUAACAAAACCUACAACAUGCUACUAUACCUCAAUAAAUAGAAUGAAUGCAUAAACAUAGUAAUGUACUCUACUGAUAUAAUACUAUGUCUCAAUCUGCAUGAUAUAAAGGUAGUGACUAUAUAGUAAUGAAACCUACUAUCAAGUACUAUGUCUAAUGUCCAAUCUCAUCUCGGCUAACCCGGAGGUUAUGCCCAAACUCACAUCUCAAAUCUCGCCGGUGAGUAGACUCUGCGCUACAAACACCCGAGACCGCCUGCUUGGUAAUCGUGUUACCCAAACGCGACAUCUACUCCGGAGCUCACUACUUGGGGUGGAGUGACCACGCCAAGGUUACACAGACUAUGUGAGUACGAUCCAAUCCUCUCACUCAAGGAUAGUUAGUGCCUCUGUUGCACUAGUUCAUAUGCUACUACUUAGGAAAUCAUCUUUAUUCCUAAGUUCAUGUCAUCAAAUUGUAAGUGUUUCCGCUACACUAGUCCAAAUGCCACUCUUUGGUUUACAUGCUACUACUCAGAAAAUCAUCAUCUAUUCCUAAGUUCAUGUCAUAGUGUUUCUACUACACUAGUCCAAAUGCCACUCUUUGAGUUCAUUUACAUGUCCAAGUUUAUCUUUUAUUUUUUUGGCACUAUAGAAUUCCAUGUCAAGACCCAAUCCUCAUGCGUCCACUAAAUCAAGUGCUCAACUCACAAUAUGAUUUCUACGAUGGAAACAUGCAAGGAAUUGAAGUACAACUACUUAACACAACCUAUAAUGCAUGAUAACAAUAUAUAUGAAUAUAUGCUAUAAUAACACAACUCGGACAUAGAAAAAAGUUCAACUGCUUUGGGACGGACACCCCCCACCUUCUGGUGAUGCCACGAAGCUAGACUCCAACUUACGUAAUUUUCCGCCGCCUAUCUCUCUCGACUGCCGGCAAACGAAGCCAAAAACAGGCUUUCCUUCAAUAUCGUCACGCCGACUCGUCGGAUCGCCGAACCGAGUCCACCAACGCGUUCGAUUACCUAGCAGAUAGGUAUAAAAGAGAUCAAUCCAAACUUUGGAUCUCAAUUUAACAAAACCCUCUUUCGGAACCCUAGAUGUUCAACUUUGCAAGAAUAUAUUAUAAAAAUCAUCGAUUCAAGCAAAUAACAUCUACUUAGUACCAAAGGGUUCUACUAGAACCAAUUCUAGAGUUUAAAACUCAAACCCUAGAAUUCUACCAUUAAAUGUAACAUACCGAAACCUCGGUAAUUAAAUUCUAACCUUGGUUAAAUUGACCAAAGUGUGAGGUUGGUACACUUCGGAGAGGCUGAAGGCAUCAAAUAAUGCAAAAAUGCAUUUCGGGGGACCUUCGAGAGCUUUGGAAAUCAAAAUCUGCAAACUGCAGGUUUUGUGCUCUCGGGAACCAGUCCCUGAUGGGAGAGACCGGUCCUCGAACGCGUAGGCAGCGAGAUGGCUGAGAAAUCGGCUAAGUCCUGGAAAAUCAGCUCUCGGGAAUCGGUCCUUGCGAGGAGAGACUGGUCCCCCAGAGACCAUUCCCAUCGAGGGAGACCGCUUGCAUCGCGCGUAGCUUGCGUAGUCCGCGGGAGGAGCUCUUGGGGACCGGUCCCAGGUUGGGGAGACCGGUCCCUAACUGCGAAAAAUGCCCAGUUUGGGCAGUACACUAGAAAUAAAGUGCGAUGGCUUAAAUGCAAUUGUCACAACACCUUAUAUGGCCCAAUCCUCUUCCCUCUUCACAGCAAACACACACACCUCUCCCCCUCUCAUCUCUUCCUCUUUCUCUCUCUAGAAGGUUGCCCUAGAGCAAGGAGAAGGAGGAGAAGAAGCUUAAAGAAAGGAUUUUGGGAGGAUUUGAGGAACUAGAAGCUCUCCUACAAGAAGGGCUUGGUAGAGCUUGGGACUAGAGGUAAGUUUUUGCAAGAUAUCUUCUAGGGUUAGGAUUUAAACCCUAAGUUUUAGAGUUUUGAGCAUCUUAGAGGUUUUAGAAGUAUGUUAGAGCCAUGAACACCAUGAAACCCUAGUUUUCUUCAUGGUACUCUAAUGGGGGAUUUCUAGGGUUUGCAUUCUAAGCCCUAGGGAUGGUUGGGAUGGUUCUAAAUGAGCUUCUAGAGGUUAAACAAGCUUUCUUUUGCUUGUUUUAGAGAUCAAAAUCUAGGGUUUAGUAAUAGGUUUGGUUAGGGCUCUAAAUUUGGGGCUUUUGCCCCCGAGUGUUUCUAAGGCAAAUUGACCUUGUAGAAAUCUAAUUGGGGGUACUCCCGACACGUGGGACAACUCUGUUUAAUGUUACGAAAAGGUUUAGAUGGAGUUAUUGAUAAAAAGCCUAAUUCGGCUUCGUUUUGCCGCAGGCGAAAAAGUAAAGCUUCAAAAAAAAUUCCAAGAAAUUCACCGUAGCAUCCUCUCAACCUUCUAAGGUGGGUGGUGCAUUCCAAGGACCUCGGAAAUCCCUUUAUGUCUAAAGUGUCAUGUUUGAACAUAUAUAUAUAUUGAGCAUAUUGUAUAGUAGGGUUAAUUGUGAGCUUUUAUUGCAUGAUUGUGAAUUUAAUUUCGUAUGAAAUACUUGUAAGAAUGUGAGAAUGAUAACCCUAUUUAUGCAUGGCGAGUGACAAGAAUCUUGAAGGGUUAGUGAACAAAAGUGACACAUGGACAUAGAUCUAGUGAGUGACAUCGAUGAGUCUAGAACACUUAGAAAACAAGUGUGACAUAUGGCAUGAGAACAAGAAUAUAGCACUUAGUAAACAAGUGUGGCAUGAGUACAAGAACUUAGUAGUGUAUAUGACACAAGUGAAGAUAAAGAAUGCAAAGAAAAGAAUGAUUGAGAUAUUAUGACAUUUCAACCUUAGAGUUAAAGGUCUUUGAGCAUGGUUUUUCUUAAAGUUAAGGAAUGGAUUGAACUUGGAAUUCUCAAUGUAGGAUUGAUCGUACUCACUUUUAGUCCUUGCUCGAGGGUGGUAGCUCCCCCUCGGGCGAUGUGCUCCGGAGUCGACAUCACUGGGUCCUAGCGGGUAUCUCCCCAGAGGACGGUCCUAUCGGGUUGUAGCGGGUAUCUCCCCAGUUAAUAGGAUUUUGGUUGGUGAGUUUGUUGAGGGCGAAACCUACGGGUUAGCUAAGAGAUUGGGUAAAGAAAUUGUGAUCUUGCAUUCAUCAUGAGCAUUAUAUCGAGCAUCGCAUUUUAUAUUGUUCAGGCAUAUUAGUUGCAUUUGUUAGUUGGUUACUUUCUUUCUUCUAUUCUAUUAUGCCUGAUUAGACCUAGUGGGAUAGUCGGCGUGGUUGGUUGCCGAACCCACUGAAAACUUUGUUAUACCCCUAUUUCCGCAGAGUCGGGACCGAGUGAGUCGGCAGACGACCGCGGUAAGGGCAUCGCGCCCUAGGUAGAGACCGCCUGAGAUGUUUUAUUCCUUAGUUGCAUACCCUUUUGAUAUAUCAUCUUUUGUAUUUUGAUGAUUAUAGUUGUUAAAAGAAAGGACAUGAAUGAUGUAAGAGAGUUUAUUUAAUAUCAAUGUUAUAUUUUGGAAGAAUGGGAUGUAAAAAGAAAUGAUGCAAAAUUGUAAUUGAUUUCCUAAGGGGCUGUUUGGUUCCAUGUUUUUCCAACUGCAGUGCAGUUGGAAAUGCAUGCAUCAAUUACUUUUUUGUUUGGCUUGGUGCAGUUGGGCUCAACUGCAGUAGUUGCAUCCGCAUGAAUGGGCCCAACUGCUGCAGUUGGUACUGCAGCCAAAUUGGCUGCAGUACCAACUUCGGCAGUUGGGCCCAAGUUGGCUCACCCCUUAAAAAAAAAAAUAAAAUAUGAUUUUUUUCAUUUGCUAUUUUUUUUCCUCCCAAAAAUAUCUAUUCAUAAUAGGUCCUAGGGUUUGUGGCGGCCGCUGUUUCUGCAACUCUCGUGCUUCUUCAUUGAGGGUGGUGCGUCUCUCUCUCUUUCUCUCUCUCUUUCUCUCUCACACACACAGAGAAAUAGUCAUCACACUUCCUCUGUCUCUUUUUCACAGAGAGAAUAGUCAUCAUUCUCUCUCUCUAGUCAUGUGAUGCUGGUAAUUGAUUUAGUUAUUUUAUCAUACAUGCUUUAUUUUUAUUUGUUAGCUCUAUUAUGGAUUAAUUUANAACUCUCGUGCUUCUUCAAUUCUCGUGCUUCACAAUAGGUCCUAGGGUGGUGCGUCUAUCUCUUUCUCUCUCUCCCUCAAUCUCUCUCACACACGUACACACAUAAAUAAUCAUCACACUCAUUAUUCUCUCUCUCUAGUCCUGGUAAUUGAUUUAGUUAAUUUAUCAUGCAUACUUUAUUUUUUUAAUAUAUAUAUAUAUAGUAUUUUAUAUUUAAUGCUAUGUGUUUUGAUACUGCAUUGAUGCUAUUGGGUUAUCUUAAUACAUUGAAUUGUAUUAUGAGAUUUUUUAUUUUAUUUUUAUCUAUUGUUAAUUAUAGAUGGCCGAUGAAAUUUUUUUCUUCGACAACAACGAUAUCGAAGCCGUAGCACAAGUUGUAGUUGCAGCAGUCUAUGCAUUUUUGAUUUGGUAUAGGCAUCGUUUAAAUAUUAUUAGAGAGCCUGUGGUUAACAGAGAAUCCAAACGAAGCAUUUAUAUAGAGAGAUUAUUAUAUGGAACCGAUGUUGCAUGUCUAAAUAUGGUUCGAAUGAGGAGAGAUCUUUUUUUUCGACUAUCCGAAACUUUACGUCAGCGAGGACUGCUUACUGACACUCUCAAUGUUUGCGUGGAAGAGCAACUUGCAAUGUUUCUCCAUACAAUUGGACAUAACGUUAGGAAUAGAGUAGUUGCGCAUAAUUUUAUUCGUUCUGGUGAAACAGUAAGCCGAUAUUUCAAUCAAGUUUUACAUGCAAUUGGUGAGCUUCGCAAUGACUUAAUAAGACCACCAAGCAUGAUAGUGCAUCAAAGAAUUGCAUCGAACCGUAAGUUUAUGCCAUUCUUCAAGGUAAAAUUCUCUCCUAAAAUACAAGAAACUAUAAUUUGUUAAAGUUCACGUCAAAAUUAUUGUUAAUAUUAUAUGAAUGAUUAUGAUAGGAUUGUAUAGGAUCACUUGACGGUACGCACAUACAUGAAUCAGUUCCAUUAUCAGAAGUUGCGGCAUUUCGUGGUAGAAAAUCUUACCCUACACAAAAUGUAUUAGCGGCGAUAAACUUUGACUUGCACUUUACAUACGUCUUAGCUGGAUGGGAGGGAUCAGCACAUGAUGCACUUGUCUUACGAGAUGCUAUUGAAAGACCAUGUGGUCUCAGGGUUCCUCAAGGUAAACUAAAUAUUAUAUAAAAUAUUUAUAAUAGAAAAAGUUUCAAAUUUAAUAAUGAUAUAAAAUUUUUAUUAUGUUUAUCUUGUAGGAAAAUAUUAUCUGGUUGACGCAGGCUAUUCAACUAGACCUGGAUUUAUAUCACCUUAUCGAAGUGUUAGAUAUCAUUUACGAGAAUGGGGAGCUCGUACUCCUUCAAACCCACAGGAGCUUUUCAACUAUAGACAUUCAUCUCUACGAACCUCGGUUGAGCGUGCAUUUGGUUCAUUAAAAAACCGUUUCAAAAUUUUAACCUCCAGACCAUUCUUUCCUUUUUCAACGCAAGUGAAUCUAGUGCUUGCUUGUUGCAUUGUGCAUAACUAUAUAAUGUCUCAUGGAGGAGAUGAAUUAGUACCAAGUGAAGAAGAAUGGCUAGCACAAUCAUCUCAUUCCACUCAAUUACCUCAAUUACGAUCUCGACGAGAAUAUAGGGAGGAGGCACGCGAAUGGGAGGAAAAGAGGAAUAGGAUAGCGAUGGAAAUGUGGCAAAGUCGAAAUAACUAAGUAGAAAUAAUUUUCUAUAUGAGUUUUGUGUUGUGUUCUAUUUUGUGUGAUUACAUUUCGGUUGAUUCUAUGUUGUUGUAUUUUCUUUUAUAUAUCAGACAUUUGUGAUAUAUAUUAAAACAUAUUAGAUAUACUUUUUUGAUUUAUCUUUUCUAUUAUCUCACUUUCUUUUUUUUAUAGGUUAUGGAUAAUGAAAUACGUAGUAAUAUUAGCUCCAAGAAAAUCAGUGCUUUCAAAUGGAAUUCUAUUAUGAGUAGAUUUUUCAUUCAAUUUAUGGCUGAGCAAGCUAGACAAGGAAUGAAGAUUGACAAGUCUUUUAAGCCUCAAACUCUCAAUGCAGCGGUGGUAGCUGUCAAUGAACAAUUUGGAUGUAAGAUAACCGAAAGCAAUGUUAGGAAUCAUUUGAGAACACUACGAGCGAGAUGGUUACAAAUCAAACAACUCAAGGAGAAAAGCGGUGUUGGGUGGGAUGAGAAAGAGAAAAAAAUAAUAAUGGGAGAAGAUGAGUACAAGACAUAUAUUCAGGUAAAGUAAUCUACAAGUAUUUUUCUAUUAUUUUACUAUUAAUUUAUCUAUAUGAAAUUAAUACAUGUUAAUCUGGAAUAUUUUCAAUAGGCCAAUCCAAAAGAUGAGCCAUAUAUUAAUAAACCGAUCAAUGAUUAUGAAGAGCUGGCUUUGAUAUGUGGCAAUGAUCAAGCGACGGGCAAAUAUACGAAGCAAACUGAUCAAGCACUCGGUGUGAACUUAGAUGGUCCUUCUUUUAUUAACAUUGAUACAACUAACGAGGGUGAUGCUGGUCUGGAUGAUAUAAUAUUCACAGAAUCCUCCCAAUUACCUUCUACUCCUAAGGAAACUACAUCAACCUCUUCAAAAGGCAAAAAUAAAAGAAUUGGUGAAAAAAGGCUACGUGAUAGUGAAACUGAAGUGAUACGUGAAUUAGCAACACAAGUAGGACAAGUCGCAACGGCCUUAAAAGGAACUAGAUCUCUUCAAUUUUCGAAUGAGCUAUUUCAGGAGGUAAUGAAACUACCAUUUUCAGUUGAACAACUCGAAGAUGCUUAUGAUUUUUUAAUGGAGAAUGAUGUGCAAGCUAGAUGCUUUAUGGCAAAGCCUUUGGAGAUGCGUAUGAAAUGGAUGCAACGCUUUCGGCGAACAAGAUUCUAUUCUGAUGAGGAUGAACCAAAUCCUUAGGUUUAAGAAAAUGAUAUUUUGUUUUUAGAAAUAAAAGCUUAGGCUCUAUCUUAGUCUCAGUCAUUUUAAAAUGUUGGUGAAUAUGAUAGACUCUUCUAUGAACCUUAUUUUCUUAUUUUUGGCAUUUUAAGUAUGUGUGGACUUGACGUCAGUUUAUUUUAUAUUUUUAUUUGUUAGUUCUAUUAUGGAUUAAUUUAUAUUCAGUUUUAUAGUUCAAUAAUGUUUUAAUUUUUGUUAUGAUCAAAUUUAUAAUAUGUUUGCAUUUAAAAUUUAUUAAAUUCAUAUAUAAUUUUAUAAUAUGUAAAUUAUAUAUAUAUAUAUAUAUAAGUCUUACUUAAUAAUUAUAUAAUCUCAUAAGUAUGUUAUCUUAAGAGAGGUAAUCUCACCUUUCUAUCUAAAAGGUGACAGUAUUUAUAAAUACAAAUCUCAACUGCAGCCUACCAAACAGAGGAAAUAUAACUGCAGCAGUUGCAACUGUAUAAAACCAAACAGACUAGGUGUAGUUAUAACUGCAGCAUUUAUAACUGCAUGUAUUUCCAACUACACUGUUUCUACAACUACAUCCAACCAAACGACCCCUAAGUGUAGUAUUUACUUUCACUAUUGGCUAUUGCUUGCCCUCGUGCAAGCCAUUGUGUAUACUUCCGCUUAUGCAAACCUUAAACUCUAUUGAUACUGGUUGUUGAGCCUUGAGCGGACAGGGGAGGCUCUGUCCGUUCGGCGUCUGUUCGACGCUCUCAAACCAGCCAAAGGGAUCAGGCUCGGGGCGUGACAUUAAAGCUCCAAGAGCUUACCUCUCCACAACUUCUCCAAGCCAAAGAAGAAGAUGAAGAAGACAAAGAUCCACUUCCAAGCUUUAAUCUCCACCAAGUCCUCCUCUUAGAUUCACCCUUGAGAAAGCUUCUAGAGAGAGAAGGAGAAAAAUGAGUAAAGGGGAGGUUCUCUGGCUGUGAACACAAGAGAGGAAGAUGGGGGCCAUUUAUAGGCUGCCACAAUUGCAAUAAAACCCCCCAACAAUUACCAUUUGUAACAUACUGCAAUCUAUAGUUUUCUGCACUUGGUACUGGUACGCGGGUAAUCUGUCACCGGUUUAACAGCUGCACAGAGGCCAAACCUGAGAGCUGCCUUUUCGGGUAACUAGUCUGGUACUGGUACGCAUCAGGGGUAUCACCGGUUUAACAGCCAAAAUUACUCAAACCCGAGAGCUGCUACUCUCGGUCUGCUAUGGGGUACCGGUACCACCCCGAUGUUUAACCGGUUACACAAUGCCCAGACUGAUGUUUAGCACUUGUUCGACUACUAUUUUGCGCCGAGCAAUGCUAAAACUCAAUUAUCUCUUUUAGAACUCAACUUUGACCCUUCCAACCUCUUUGGAAUGUCAAAUAGAACAUGUCCAAGCAUCUCUCUCGCCACGCUUUGGUCCUUUUGACCAAAAGUGGUUUAAUAGGACGAGGAAUCAAUAUCUUACAUAUGCUAUCGAUAGCACCAAGCACUUGGUGCUAUCAAGUUUUCUGCCGUUAGAUUAAUCCCUUUGAUUAUUUUUAUCCGUUAGAUUAUACUAUUCAACCAACCACCCACUCAACCCUAGAGGGCCCACAUCAUCCUAACCGUAUAUUUCUCAAUCCAAGGGCUAAAAAUUCAAUAGCACCAAUAACUUGGUACUAUUGAUAGCAUUCCAGCCUAGUUAUAUAUAUAUAUAUAUAUAUAGUUGAGCUAGAAUACUAUCGAUAGCAAACGGGCUCCAUUGCCACCCAUUUGUUUUCGAUUAUAGAUCCUCCAAAUCGACGAUCGGCACCGUUGAACAUGAUCUAUACCACUUGAAGUAUUUAGAAAUCAAAUUUAAAAUCUUUUCGACAUCAUUUGCCUAAUGAUCAAAGGGUUUCAAAAUUUGUAAUUUUAGUGGUCGAUAUGAGGCAUUUUCUCGUUUAACGGCAUAAAGAUAUCCAAAUCAAUUGAAUUUUUGUUAGAAAAUUCUUUAAACUAUUUAAAACAAGAUCUACACUCUUGAUCUUGACUACAAGACUCCUAUCAUCAUUUUUUAAAGAAUAUUCAUUUUCAGCUGUUUAUUUUUGUGUCCACUCGAUGGAUAAGAGAAUAAUAUCGAAAAUGUAUGAAAUUUGAUUUCUAAACACUUCAAGUGGUAUAGAUUCAUGUUCAACAGUGCCGAUCGUCGAUUUGGAUGCUCCAUCAUCGAAAACAAAUGGGUGGCAACGGAAUCCAUUUGCUACCGAUAGUAUUCUAGCUCAACUCUAUAUAUAUAUAUAUAUAUAGUUUGAGAGGCAAGUGGCAAGUGCUCCUUAAUCCCCUCUCCUCUCUCCCAUUCUCAAAUCUCCUCUCCUCUUUCCUAUUUUCAAAUAUGAGAAAAUCAUUGCAUAGGCUAUUUCUAUAAAUAAAUCAUAUAAAUCAAUCUAAUUUUUUAAUAAUAAAUUUAGUAAAAUUAAGGCAUGAACUAAUGAAAGUUUGUCACAUCUUCAAUAAAAAUUUUGAACGCACCUAUUGCAUCAUAAGCCAACUUUAAAAUUUGCAUCAAAAAUAAAUUUCUAUAGUAUAUUGAAUUAUUUAAAUUAUAUAAUUAUGUUUUAUAAUAUUAAUUAUCAAAUACUCCAUCAAUCAUCUAAUAUUAUGCCCAGUGUAUGGAACAUCAGUAUGCAACGGGCGAAAACAAAGAUUUCUCAUCUCUCUUGAAAUUUUGUGUGCACCGUAUUAAGGAUUCUUGUAUUACAUCCGUAUAUGCACCACAUUCUUAAAACCCUUCAAUAAAGAUUUCAAAAUUAAUUCAUCAAAUAUAAUUUAAAUUAUUAGACUUUAUAUAUCAGGUCUAUUAAUUAAAAUUUGAUAUUAAAAUAUUAGACAUUUGUUGGAAAUGGAAAUCCAAGGAUCUAUCUAGAUACUACCAAACACCUAGAGGGGACUGAAUAGGUGUAUUGCCCAAAAUCGCAAAUCUCAAUGCGACAAAAAAUAAGUGCAGAAAAUAAAAUAACACACCGAGAUUUACGUGGAAAAACUCCAAUUUGGAGAAAAACCACGGGACCAACACGCGAUAACAAUCCACUACGAAAUAAAAGAUUACAAGGUGAUUACCGAAUCCACGGACUCAAACCUCUCUUUUAUCUUCUUCGGAUCUCGCGCACGCCGCCAAGUUGUCCACGCCCCACGUCCGACUCCACGAACGCCACGUCCCGAAUCCACAGAACGUCUACACUUUGAAUCCACGAAGCUUCGACACGUCGAAUCCACAACGCCGACUCAAAUCCAUGAGCACACUCCGUCCGGAUCCAGAACAAUACGGUCGAUGAUGAUUUAUUGCUUAGAAUAUCAUUAAAGAUCCGUGGGAAUAAUCUGUAAGUAAUUCUCAAAUUGAGUCUAGAAGAACAUCAAGAAUUAGAACAUCAAGAAUCAAUUUGCGAGAAGCUUGUUAUAGACGAUGAGGAAAAUGACUACCUACAAGCUUCUAGGGUUUUGAAUAGAUAAUCUAGGCUUCACAUAUUUUACAUGCACCUCCAAAUCUUAUUUAUAGGUUUAGAAGACAUUAUAAAUAGAUUAGGAUUGAAAAACCAUAUUUGGAAACCAUUAGAAAUAGAUUAUGAUUGAAAAAAAUCAUAUUUGGAAACCUUAAAACCAUAUUUGGAAAACCCACGUCGGGUUCAGGAUCCGGACUUUCCAGUAGGGUCCGGAUCUUGAUCCCAAGGUUCGGAUCCUCCUUGCGUAACAGCAAAACUGACGUACGUGAUCCGGACCCUGGAGCCAAGGUCCGGACCCUCGCUCCGUAUCAGCCAGAGAGGCUUACGGGAUCCGGACCUUUCUUUCAGGGUCCCGAUCCUGGAACUUGGAAAACUUAGUUUUGAAUUUUUAUCAAUUUAUACCUAUUCUAAUGUCUUCCAAACACUUGUAAAUGUUCAUAAAUCAUCAUCAAUAGUACUUAAUCUUAUCGAGCAUUGUGGAUUCAUGUUUUGAGUCUUCGAGUCUUCAAUCUUCGUCUCUUCUUCUUUAAACCUUCAAGACUCCGACUUACUUCAUGAAAUAUGCUACUUAAAAUCCGUAACAAUCUUCCCCUUUGGCAAUUUUGUGACAAAACUCAAAAUUACAUCAAAAUACUCACAACACUCAACUCUCCAAAAAUUAAAAUUGAAAUUCAUUACUAUCACCAAAAUAAUGAACUUCUCGCGUGAAAGAUCCAAAGAAAACACAAAAUUACAAUUGUGCAACUCCUAAACAAACUCUACGACUUAGACACAAAUGAUCUGCAAAAAGAUUACUUUCUCCACAAACAAAGUUAGUAGUAAAAAUAUGAAAAUCUCUCCCCCUUUGUUCAUGUGUCUAAGUAUUAAAUUAAUCAAUUUCAAUUUCUCUCUCCUUUUCUCUUCAAAAUCUCAUCUCUCUCCCCCUUUUUGUCAAAAUUUGCCAAAAGAAAAGUACCAAAAUAGAGAGAGUUUAGAAUAUAAUGAUUGCAUUGUGAAAACAAUAAUGUUAGUGUAUGAAUAGAAUGAAUUCACAUAGACUUCUUUCAAUCUACAUCAAUUUCAUAAAAAUUAAGAAUUUUACUAUAAAUUCAUCAAGAUGUAGAUAAAAUAUAAUAAAAUUUCUUUAUUCAUAUAUACUUCAAAAUCAAAUCAUCAAAAAUAAUCUAAAGGCGCAAAAUCUAUCAAGAUGUAACAGAUUAUAAAGAUAACUUAUGAAGAUUCACUAAAUGACAGAAAUUUGUCGCAUAAACGUUCAAAUUCAAGACCAAGCUAUAAUGUACCAGGGGUGGCUCUUUGAGCAUCUUUUUACUUACCACCUUAUCACACUGAAAUUGUCACGCCCCGGGGCCGAUUUUAAAAGCCUUUUAAAAUCAGAGUUGCGGAAAACGUGCCAUUUUUUUUUUUUUUCAACCUGGCCCACGCGACGUACAGACCCGCCACAAAUACCAAGUUCCUCUAUCCACUCGAACAGAGUCUCCUUUGUAUUUGCACGGCGUACCAGCUAUACAACAGGAUCUCAACCACAACCUACAUUUACCAAUCAGCAACCAAAUCAUGAUAUGCAUUCCCAUACAGCUAACGAUCCUUAGAAUGAUGCAUGCCUCUAAGCACUCUUUAGGCGCUGGAUGAUGCAAUGCACAAUACAACAAACAUCUUAUUUGAAAGUGCUCCCCACACAGAAGCUUUUGUUUUUAAAAUCUAAUUCAUUCAUACAUGAAAAUCAUUCAAAAAUCUUUUGAAAACUGUUUCCCACACGGAAACUCUAUUUUGAAAACCGACUACCUCGAUGGGUAGAAAACCACGAUGCGUAAAUCCAUAAAUACAAAUCCGAGAACCACAAAGUAUACAAACAUCCCAAAACUGAAGAUCCAUAAACCAAAUCCACAAUUCCACAAAUCCACAAAUUCAACCAGCUCACAACAUUCAAACAUCAAGUAUGAUCAUCUAACUGAACCAUAUAAACUAACUAAGCUAUAACAACAGAAUAGUAAGGAUAAAAACUAAAUCGAUAACCUGGGUCGGAAGCUCUAUCGACCGCUACGAACGUACCUCACAUCUCGUCCCAAAACUCAUCGCCUGCAAUACCUGAAAAAUGGUGGGGGAGGUGAGAACAUGUAAACAUGUCUCCCCUCCCAGUGGGUACCGCAAGCCGAUGAAGGCGAGGAGUACUCACCGGAUCAGGAAGAGCUAAACAACAGUACGGGUCAGUAGAAAAUACAGUAGCAAUAAUAAUGAAUGAAAGAGACAUAUAUAUGAAAGAAAGUACAACUACCGCUACUGUAAUGAACAACUGAAUGUAUACAUGUAACAAGACUAUAGUAGCAAGACAAUGUAACGAAAGAACUGAAGAUAUACAAGUGACCACUGCUACUAUAGUUAUAUGCGUCAACCGGACAAGUAGUCCAAAAGUACCCAAUCUAAACCGUCGUGUCGGUCUAAGGACCUCAGGCAAAAGCCACUACCUGCUCGCACCUGGCAUGUAACCCUAGCACAAAGAGAACACCGCUGGGCUCACGGGUCGGAUGUACGACCACUUUUCCGGAAAAGAACACCCUCCUGCGGGGGAUCAACCCGCUGGUGUACGUGAAAUGCACUCGAGCUGUGGCGAUCAAUGCAGAUAUGAUCAAUAGCCAAAUGUCGGCAACCAGCCGACAAUCACCGCCCCUCGGGGCAAACCGACCAAUAGGUCAUCAAACUAUAUAGAAGCACAAGAAACGACUACUCAGGUCAACUAUGAGGGAACAACUCGUCCCACCAAAGGUAUACAAGCACUGACUACUAAAGUCAACUAACACAUAUGCACGACGAACUGACGAAUAGGUUACCAGAGUAUAUCAAUAGAAUCCCGAAUUACCGUCGGCCACUAGCCGACAAUCCAACCUCUCAGGGUACACCGACCUCAUAGGUCAUCAAACGACAGGACUCACGAAGCUGACUGACUAGGUCACAAAUAUGCCAAAUAGUGGAACUGUGUAAACUAUAAUCAUCCGUCGGUGCUAACCGACAAUCCCACCCCUUAGGGUAUACCGACCUCAAGGGUCAUCGAACGAUGUACGAGAACCGACCAAUCAGGUCACCGAAAUGAAGUACGAGAACCGACCAACCAGGUCAACAGAUACGGAAAUGCAAUAACCGACCAACUAGGUCAACAGAUACUAAACGCAACAACAGACCAACUAGGUCAACAGGUACUGAAUGCAACAACCGACCAACUAGGUCAACAGAUACGCAUGAAGAUAGAACUACUCUACUCCUACUCAGGAUACUAAGUAUGCAAACAACGAGUAGAGUAUAACGAAUAAACAAGGGUGCAAGGCUCAAUAUAUUAUGCGAUAGUAACAACAGAAGAGUAAGGGUAAGAAACCAUCACCAAGCGUGCACCACUGUACCGACGUCGGAUCGAAGUACCCACCUGUAAGGAUGUCGCGUCUGUCUCCUGGCUGCAAAAGAAUGUCGACCGGACCUAUAAAGGGUCCACCGGGUUAGCAUCUAACCCACAACUAAUAAUCACAGUAUCCACAACCCCACAAACAAUUUCAAGAAGAUCGGUCUCCCAAUACCGAUUACCGUAACUCGCCGGAAGUCCCGAAAACCAUACCGGGACGCCGUCGGGACCCACUAAGUGUCCCGAAACUCACCGACUCGUGUCACGAGUCACCUGCUGCCCCAAAGCACUCCAAUUUGGGUGUUUUAGCAGCAAACACAAGAUAACACCCCUACACAAUUAUCGCCGGAUAAUUGUACGAAUCCGGGUUCCCGAAUGUGUUUAUUUCGACACCGGAACCCACCGUCGCUCACCCAUCAUCACCGAACCCACAAAGUGAUGAUGGUGACCAGCCAACAAGGCUCAGCGACAAAACACGAAGCAACCAAACACCGUCGGAAAGAAUCCGAACCGAAAUCGCGUUCUUUCGGCGAAUUUCGCCGAAAAACGCACCGAAAUCGACCUACCGAUUUUCGCGAAAGCUAACGGACCAUGGACAAUCAGUCCAGCGGUCAUUACAAACUCCCACACGCUGCCCACAGUAGCCACGCAAGGCACAAAUACAUAAAAGACCCUCUAAUUACAUAAAAUCUCAUCAUUUUAUGUAAUUUGAGCGAUCAAGCGGCUCAUUCACGCAAACCGAGGACUUUCGAAGUCCGCAGAGACACGUACUGACAGGUCUCGACGUACCGGAGUCCGUGCUCCUGAUCCGGAGCACAACGGCUGGCUGUGGGAAGCGCGGGAGCAACCCGAAGGUUCAGCGAAUAGCGCGCAGUCAGGGAAGAUCACGCCGAACAGAACUAACCGGACACUUCUGAUCCACGGGAAGGUGAGCAUUAUGAUCAGCACUGACCAGCAGUCACCAUGCUCACCUCCGGAGGCAUCGGAACAGCCUCAGAUCGCCGAAAAAACAAGCACAAUCCCGAAACAGCAGCCAAAAAGGCUGAAACGGAGCGACAUCGCCAAAACAGCGGAACGGGGCCUUCCCGACAGAAACCAAGGUGAGCACGAUGAUCGGAAAUGAGUCACGAUCAUCGUGCUCCCUUCCGUAUUGAUCAGGGAGGCUCGAGAAGCUCAGAACACAAACCCAUCCUAAACUAAGCCCUAUUUCGGGCUUGGCCGGAGCAAGGUUGCUCCGGCCGGCUUCCGGCAGCACGGCGGCAUGCGCGGCGGCCAGGGACCGAUGCGGGGGAGGUGAGGAGUACCGUGCUCACCUCGGUUGGCGGCCGGAAGCGGCGGCGGCGGCGGCGGAGCAAACCGAACCCGUACCGGCUUGAGCUUGGGCUCCAAGGGCAAUGGCGGCCACGGCGGCCAGCGGGAGGCUCAGGGUGACGGCAGCACCUCGCCGGAGGUGGAGGAAAGGAGAAUCGGCAGGCGGGGAACGGCAGCGGCGCGCGGAGGCAGAGCUAGCCCCGGCUCGGCCCGCACUUGGUCAAGGCGGCCGCAGAGAGAGAGAGCGGCGGCCGGCGGCGACGGGUGCGGCUGCGAUGGUGUGCGGGGGCACGCCGGAGGCCAGCUGAGGGCGGCGGGACCGAGGGUGGGCGGCGGCGAUGCGCGGAGGCAGAGAUCACCAAGGCUCGGCCUGGGUGACUGCAGGUUGGCCGCAGGGAGCAAGGUGGCUCCAGCGGCGUCGGCGGUGCGCGCCGACGGCGGAGGCCGGCGAGGGUCGGCGCCGGAGGUAGCUCUCUCCCACAGGGUGAAGGAUCCUCGGGGCUUCGCGCGUUUCCCUGUGUACUCAGGCCGAGAGGGUGGUGGUUCGAUUGAAAGAGAAAGAUGGAAGGUGGCCGGGUUCCAAUUUUCCGGCGGCCGGGGCACCUGCCGGCGGCCGAGGUGCGCGCAUGGGCUGAGCAGGGACCAGUUAGGGUCGGCUGAGGGAGGGGUAGCUAGGGUUAGGGUUUCCAAGCCAAAAGAAAACUAACUUCAACCUAUAAAUGUAGUGUAAUUUUUGCGAAAAUGUCCUCCAAGAAUCAACAAUUCUAUCCCAGUCCCUCACAGCGCGAGUAAAUCGCGCGGAUACCCCUCCACGACCGGUUUCACGCGAAACGGUACAUAAAAUAUCGCAACUUUUGCGAAAAUACCGUUUUGCCAACACCAACCUCUCCUCGAUCAACGUGCGAUCUCCGUAGAUCCGUCCGUCAGAUUUGCGAACGGAUUGCACCAGUGCGAUCAGCACCUCGGAGACAACAAAGUUACGAUUUUGGUUCACCUCGAUCGACCACGGAUUCGUGACAAAAUCCAACCUUUCAUUCCAACAGAAUGAAUAACACAAAAAUACAUAUAAAACAUGUAUUUUUGGAUUUUCUCGAAAUCCGUGCGUCAAACUCAAAAUCCGUCAGCGCCAUUAGUUCCAGAACAGCUGAACCGGUCGAAACGAGCUAUUGGACCGCUAGGAACAGAGUCCGAUACGAGCCUGAAGCCAACUUCACACCGUGGCUUCUCCGAAAAAUCGAGUUACUAUUCACUUUUAAAGUGAAACUUGGAAAUCGCGUAGAAUCUCCGUUUAACUCGAUUUCUCCCAAAUUUGCGAGUGCUUUUUGUAAUUAAAUUACACACAAAAACAUCGUCAACUGAGAUUUAGCUAUACUGUAAAAAUCUCAGUCCUUACAGAAAUAAUAUAUUAAUAUAUAUUAUAAUAUUAUAAUAUAUAUAUAUAUAAUAUAUAAUGAACAUUUUUUCAACCUUUUCGGUUAUGAUAAAUUCAUCUGUAACUUCACACACUUACCGGACGACCGGGGUGGUAGCUCUUUCCUACAUGUGGUGGUAGCUUUCACACUCCCAUUAGGAUGUAACUCUUUCUAUAUCUUUUAAGCACUUGGGCAUUGUUUGGUUGAGGGAUAAAGUGGAAAUAGACCACUUUAUCCCUCUAAUUCAUCCAAAUGCUAAAAGAAGGAAUGGGUUUAUUUAAUCCCCCUCUUAACAGGUUAUUCUAGAAUAACCCAUUAAGAGGGAGGAUGUCACGCCUCGGAUUACUCGUUUUCCCGGGCACGCUAACAGACCCGCAGUAUACAUAAAAAUUUCUCCUGUAUACGAAGCGAAGCUGUACCUAUACCUGUAAUCAUACAACACUACAACCAGUAGUAUAGAGCUGCUAAAAUAAAAAUAUAUAUAAUAACAAAGGUUCACUAUACAUACAUAGCAUCCAAGUAUACAAAAUCACUCGCUCCAACGAGAUACAAACAUCAGUAUGUAUAAGAACCAAAACUACAACUACCUGUAGCUGGUGCUCCUCUAGCUCUGUAACUCGUCGGGAAGGGCUCUAGCUCGAAACACCUUUUCCACGAUCAGUCUCCACCACAGCAGCAGCCGAAGAAGAUGGCUCUGCAAAAGAUCUACAACUGGGCGUGAGAACUACUGCAAAAAGAAGUAGUCCUCAGUGGGUACCGCUACCGACCUCAACAGCUCACCCACUAAGUCUACAGAUGUAUGCUCAAUGAUAGUAAAUGAACUGAAAACAAUCUACAGCUAUUGCCACUAUACUAUCAUGAUCCAAUACUAACUAUCUGUAGCAUAAUGCAAUCUCUGACCCAAUCUCACUAGGGACUGUGAACACACCCGUCCCGCCUGUCGAAACUACAUUAACUGCCACCACGCUAGGUUGUCAGUGGAGAGCAAGUCCAAACAGGACAAACCGACAUCAACGCAAAAGCACUAAGCCCGACUGAGGAGUGGCACUCGUGGGCGCUACCCAACCGAGUAUGCAAGCGUGUCUCACAGGCUAUGGUCAAAGUAAACAGGGUCUAACAACCAAACUCACGUGCCCUCGGCACAAUCUGAUGCAAAAGCAGUAAACUAGGUCCACCGUCACCACAACGGCACCUGACAGUCCGGAACAGUCUAAACACUGCUGUAAAAAUAAGCUCGGCAUCUCAGCACGAGCGUAAAUGCAUUCUAUACUAAUUAGGGUAUCUAUCGCCCACAAACUGCGGAGAUACAAACAAACUACGGCUCCUGAGCUAAAUCUGGUAGUUUUAACAUAUGACGGUGUAGAAUCGGCAGUUUUCUCCUAAGUCAAUUCCAAGUCCAACAUGUAUAAUUUAACUAAUAUUCUAAGCUCUAAUUCAGAUUUAGAAAUACAGUAAACCAACGAAUUGAGCAACUAAAACAUGCUAUACAAAAACGGCGAAUACAUGUCGACAACAACUAGACUUAGGAGGAAUUCCGUGUAAUUCGGUAAGCAUAACAUUAACCCACCUCAAAAGCUAAUCCACGACAGCGAGAAGUCGAUAGGAGAAGAAAUUUCGCGCUCGCCCGGCCUCCAACGGCGCUACCACGACACACGCACUCGACUCGCUCGCUCGCUCGCUCGUAAGAACGAACCCAAGUUCUCCCCUGCUAAUUAAUUAGCUCAAAACUUGGCAAUAAAAAACACCAAAAAGAGAGGAUAAGGAUGGGGGAGCAUGUGGACUCCACCGCCUAAUUAAACAAAAUUGCCCACAAGCCCUUAUAUAACUAGGUAUUCAACUUUAGUCCUCCACAAUAUAAAUCUUGAGUUUCAAACUCCGUUUUUACGUCUAUUUUGCGCAAAACGUCUCCAACUCAAUCAAGUAUAAACUUAUACUGUAACCUUGUCAAUUUGCUAAAGUUCAGUAUAUCACAAGAGAAUUGUUGUUCUACCCUUUUGGUGGAAUAACAAUUUCUUUUCUUUAUACCUCUACUAAUUUAAUAAUAAAAUAUUUUUAAUUAAUAUAUUAUAUUUCAUUUUAUUAACUAAUUAGCUAAAUUAAUAAUUAACUAAUUUAAUAAUAAAAUAUUAGCAAAAUUAAUAACUAUUUAUUAGUGUGUUUAUGCAACAACUAAUAUCUUUAUUGAUUAAUAAAUUAAUAUUUUGACCAAUAUAACUAAUUAAUUAAUUAAUUAAUUAAUUAAUUUACUAAUAUAUUAAUUUAUUAGCCUAAUUUGUUAACUUAUUGUAACGACCCAACCCACUAGUAACAAUAACUCGUUGGGCCCAAACCACCAGCCCAAAAUGCUUAAGCCCAGUUAUUAUUACUAGUAUCUAAGUCUCUUAUAAACCCAAUGACAACUUUCCCAUCCGAUGUGGGACUAUUGGGGUGUCACAGACUCCCCCCCGUUAAGGCCCUGACGUCCUCGUCAGUCCAAUCACACACACAGCCCAAGAUCACCAGGCGAUGUGAGACUCGUCUCGCUAGCCCGUCAUCCAGACCCUGGCUCAGCCGAGACUCGCCACACAUGUCCAGCUGGUGAACCGGCUCUGACUACCAAAUGUAACGACCCAGCCACUAGAAAACAACUAACUCUGUGCGGCCAACACCGCCCAAAAUGCUUAAGAGUAUUAUUACUAGUAUCUAAAAGUCUCUAUAACCCAAUGACAACCUCUUUCCCAUCCGAUGUGAGAUCGAGUCCACCCACUCCCUCUCGGGGCUCAAAACUUUCCGCGGACGUGGCGCGGCCGGAGAAGGUUGGGGCGGCGACGAACCGGGUGGCCGCCACCGGCCAGCACCCCGGAUCCAUCUUCAAGACUGAGUGCUCCCUCCUCCUGGCGGACCGCCCGCCUCCGGCCGCGGCGACCCAAACCCUAGCUCUCCUCGGGUUGGUAAGGGUACUCAUUUUAUGUUCCACACUCAGUUUUUCAGGUUCCGCCGUCACCUUUCCGGAUGAUCCGAUUAAGCCUCCAUAAACUUCGGGAUGAGACGAAUAAUCAACAACUCGUGCUGAACAUGCGCGCGUCUGACACGUGCUCACCUCGACCAGCAGGCAAGAUGCCCUGGUUAGUGAGUUGUCCGCCAGAUCUUCACGACUUGCGCACAGCUUUAACAGAAGGUUCGCGCUUCCCUGUGCGCCGCCACCGCAGCUGGCGAUAGUGACUCCGAAAGUGGAAGCACGGCCGCCGGACAUGCUGAAACCGAACCAGCAUGUCAGCUGAGGUGUGCGACGCGUCCGGAUAAUCGACCUCUGUUUGCGUGCACGCGUCCAGAACAGCCUAGAAAUCACAUAAAAUGAUGUGAUUCCUAUGUCAGCGGUAAGGGCUUUUAUGGCUUUUUGCCUUACGAUUGCUGCUAUUCCGGCAGCAAAAGUGUAGGCUGAGGAAUAACUCAUGGACUAUAGUCCAAGAAGCCGCCAAGCCUUUCCGAAAACCAACGUUGAUUUCCGGUGCGUUAGUCGGGACUUCGGUGUGUUCAGGUAAUCGAUUAUGGGAACGAUUCCCGUGGAUCAUACCGUGGGGUUAUGCUUUGAGGGUUUCUUAGUAGUGGGUUAGGUUCUAACCCGGUGGACCUUUCGUAGGUUCGGUUGCACCGUCUUCACAGUCGAGAGAUUUUCGUCAGACACGUACAGGUGGGUACUUCGACCCGACGUCGGUACAGUGGUGCACGCUCGGUGACGUUCCUUCCACCCUUACUGUUUAUAUUGCUUAUCAUAUACAUAUUGAGCCUUGCACCCGUAUUAUUCCCGUAUUUACUCUACUUGGUUGUUUCCAUGUUUAGUAUCUUAUGUAGGAGUAGAGUAGAUUUCAUCAGCAUAUGAUAUCUGCGACCUGGUUGGUCGAUUCUCCUGUGUUGUAUCUAGGACCUUGUUGGUCGAUUUUCCUAUCCUAUACUUGUGACCUUGUUGGUCGAGUUUCAUAUCCUGUACUUGUGACCUGUUUGGUCGGGUUGUUACAUUUAGUAUCUAGCAAGACAAGUAUCACAUCACCUGGUGUGGGAGUAUAUAAGUUUGAUUGGAUUAGACAUAAUAACUGGGCUUAGGCAUUUUGGGCCAGUGGUUGGGCCUAACGAGUUAUUGUUACUAGUGGGCUGGGUCAUUACAUUUGGUAUCAGAGCCGGUUCACCGGCUGGACAUGUGUGGCGAGUCUCGGCUGAGCCAGGGUUUGGAUAACGGGCUAGCGAGACGAGUUUCACAUUGCCUGAUGAUCUUAGGCUGUGUGUAUGAUUGGACUGACGAGGAUGUCAGGGCCUUAACGGGGAGAGUCUGUGACACCCCAAUAAUCCCACAUCGGAUGGGAAUGGGGUUGUCAUUGGGUUUAUAAGAGACUUAAACACUAGUAAUAAUAACUGGGCUUAAGCAUUUUGGGCUGGUGGUUGGGCCCAACGAGUUAUUGUUUUUAGUGGGCUAGGUCGUUACACUUAUCAAAUUAUUUAUAGUUAGAUAAUUUAUUAAUUAACAGUACUCAUGAUUAAUUGAUUAAUGAUUAAUUAAUCUCGUAAUUAAUUUAUUAAUUAACAUUUAUGAUUAUCUAAUAAUAUUCAUGAUAAAUUAGUUAAUUAAUUUAUUAAAUAUCAUUCACUUAAUAUUUUGAUAUUAAUUAAUUAUAUAAAAUAUUAUUAUUUAACUACUAUAAUCAGUUUUAUUCUUAUUAUUCCUAUCUAACUAUCCAAACACUAUUUUUCUUAUUCUUGAAAAUAACCUACUUUUCAUCCAAAUGUAAAAUUGACUUUAUUCCUGCUUAUCCCCAAAGUUGUACCUAUCCCAGGAAUAACCAAAAAAAAUUUAUUCUCGAACCAAACGAUGCCUUGGAGUUUAAGCACUUUGAGUAUUUUCUUCUUUUUAUUUAUAUAUAACUCUCCCUUAAUUAUGCAAUCUCUUAUUUGAAAGAAAAUUUGACAAGCUUUAGUCUAUUAGCAAAUUUUCAUUCAUCAAAUUCAACACGCACAACCGAGAUAGGUUAAGUGCCUAAAGAUUACACAUGAUUACUCAAAUUUGAUGAGUAAAAGAAUUAAGAUAUCCUAUAAUAAAUUAUCUUCAUAAAUAAUAAAUAUGAAGUAAAAUCGAUAAUUAGUAUGAAAUUAAUUCGAAAUGAAUGUAUGUAAAUUAUCGAUGUUCAAUGCACUAUUUAAUGUUUAAUCAUCGAAUGAUUCUCAAAAAAAAUUCGAAGCACAUAUAAUGCAAUGAUCAAAAGAUAUGCAAUAAAACCGAGUAUAGCAAAAACAUAAAGUCAAACACAAAUAGGCUUAAGACAGGGAAAGAUAUCACCUUUUCGAAUCCAAACUUGUCGAAUUAUUGGUUGUCUUGAUUUUUUGAUGUUAGGUACCGCUUGUUUUGACUUCCGAUCAACCUUUGGUCUCCACGUUGCAUUCGGUUUAGUGUGAACUACUUGUUGUGGCUUUGGCUUCCGGUUGAUUCGAGGUACUCGACUUAAUUGAUGUUGUUGUUGAAUCCGAGGGGGUUGUCGAGUAUUGGAAGGUGCCAAUAGACGUUUAGAAGAUGUCGGUUGAUAUUUCUUUUCCUUUUUAUGGCAUGUCUUCUUGAUGUGUCAUUUGAUUCCACAUCUAUUGCAAACCUUCUCCUUUAAAGAUGUUGAGACUUUAAAUGUUGACUUUUAAUCCUUCUCAACGUAUGUCAUUUCAUAUCCAAGUCCAAACUUGUUCGUUUGACCCAAUCCGAGCAUAUGGUCCAACUUCUUCGAUCCGGAAGAAAAUUUUUGAAUGUCAGAUUUGAGUUGACGAACUUGAUUGGUCAAGACUUGGUUGGAUGCAUGAGUUUCUUUGAAUUGUUGCUCAAAAAAACCAACCUUGUCGUUAAUUCCAAUUCGACGAGCUUCUCUUGGAGGACCGAAUUGUUCAUCAAAAUCGAUUCCCUUUCCUCCUCAAGAGCUUUGCUUGAAGUCUUCAAAAUCUUGUUCUUAUCUUCAAGUUCCAACAAUCUCUUCCUCGACUUCUUAUUAUGCUUAGCCAUCUUCUUUGAUUCAAUAAGAAGUUGAUGGUAAGCCUUGGUGAGAUCUUCUUCAUUCGAUGUUUCAUGCAAAACCAAAGAAGCAGAGUCAGAUAAAACAGAAAAUAAACAAAUAACAGAUGACGGAGGUAAAGAAGUAUUUGUAAACAAAACAACAGUGUCAUUCUUUUCUUCGUUACUUGAGCUCGAUUCAUCAGAGGUAGAAUCGUCCCAAGUUCUUGCUUGCAAAGCCUUCUUUUUGUAUAAUUUUUUUAGUGGGACAAUUCGUGGAAAUAUGGCCGUAACCUUUACAUUUGAAACAUUGGAUUUUCCUUUCAAAAAUAUCUUUUUCUUUAGAAAGUUUUGCAAGUUUCUUUUCUUUUAAUUUUGAACUUGAAGAAUCUUUAGAAGAAGAUUUUUGUUUCGAAGAUGAAGCUUUGUUGGACUUGUUCUUCCGGAAGUUCCGACGAAACUUCUUCGUUAGGAGCGCUAUUUGAUGUUCGAAGUCGGCAAUAGAAAUGUCUCCAUCAGAAUUCGAGUCCACGUCUUCCUCCUUUGUCAAUUUGAGUGCAAUAUCUGAAACUUUGGAAGACAAGUUGGAAGAAGAUUGAUUAGUAGGAAAAGCCAUUUCAUAUGUUUGCAAAGUGCCUACUAAUUCUUCUACUUUCAUUUCGUCCGAAUGUUUGAUAGUUUCUAUUGCCGCAACCUUCGGACGAAAUCUUUUGAGAAGAGUUCGAAGGAUUUUUCUUACAACCUUAGAUUUCGGGAUUUUUUUCUCCCAAGUUCACACAUGUAUUAACUACAUCUUGAAGUCGAGUAUAGUACUCGGUAAAGGUCUUAUUUUCCUCCAUAAAAAUUGAAUCAUAUUUGCUCAUUAACAUUUGUAAUUUUUGGACAUUUAUCAAGCUAGUUCCUUCAUGCGUAACUUGAAGAGUAUCCCAAAUUUCUUUCACGGUUUCACAUGCCGAAACUCAUGAAAAUUCAGUUUGAGAUAAAGCAUUAAUUCCCUUUCCGUUGUAAGAGGAUAAAUCUUUCUCUUCCUUACUCCAUUUAUCCCGUGAUUUUGGCUUUUCAACAUUUUCGACCUUUUCGGUAGGAUGUUUCCAUCCAAGUUCAACGGAUUGCCAAACCCGCUCGUCAAUGGAUAUUAGAAAAGCUCUCAUACGAACUUUCCAAUAGGCAUAACUUGUGCCAUCAAAAAGCGGAGGUGGGUUAAUGUUACUACCUUCACCCAUGAUUGUCACGCCCCGAGCCCGAUACUUUGGCCGGUUCGUGAGCGUCGAACAGACGCCGAACGGACAGAGCCUCCCCCGUCCGUCCAAGGCUUAACAACAAGUAUCAAUAGAUUAUAAAGUUUGCAUAAGCGGAAGCAUGCACAAUGGCUUGCACGAGGGCAAGCAAUAGCCAAUAGUGAAAAUAAAUAACUACACUUACGAAAUCAAUUACAAUUUUACAUCAUUUCUUCUUUUACAUCGCAUUCCUCCAAAAUAUAACAUUGAUAUUAAAUAAACUCUUUUCCAUCAUUCAUUUCCUUUCAUUUAACAACUAUAAUCAUUGAAAUAUAAAAGAUGAUAUACCAAAAGGGUAUGGAACUAAGAAAUAAAACAUCUCGGGCAGUCUCUACCUAGUGCACGAUGCCCUUACCACGGUCGUCUGCCGGCUCGCUCGGUCUCGGCUUUGUGGAAAUAGGGGUGUGAAAACUACAACAAAGUUUCCAGUGGGUUCGGCAACCAACCACGCCGACUAUCCCACUAGGUCUAAUCAGGCAUAAUAGAAUAGAAGAAAGAAAGUAACCAAUUAACAAAUGCAACUAAUAUGCCUGAACAAUAUAAAAUGCGAUGCUCGAUAUAAUGCUCAUGAUGAAUGCAGGAUCACAAUUUCUUUACCAAAUCUCUUGGCUAAUCCGUAGGUUUCGCCCCCAACAAACUCACCAACCCAAAAUCCUAUUAACCGGGGAGAUACCCGUUACAAUCCGAUAGGACCGUCCUCUGGGGAGAUACCCGCUACGACCCAGUGAUGCCGACUCCGGAGCACAUCGCCCGAGGGAGAGCUACCACCCUUGAGCAAGGACUAAAGGUGAGUACGAUCAAUCCUACAUUGAGGAUUCCAAGUUCAAUCCAUUUCUUAACUUUAAGGAAGACCAUGCUCAAUGACCCUUAACUCUAAGAUUGAAAUGUCAUAAUAUCUCAAUCAUUCUUUUAUUUGCAUUCUUUACCAUCACUUGUAUCAUAUACACUACUAAGUUCUUGUACUCAUGUCACACUUAUUUUCUAAGUGCUAUAUUUUUAUUCUCAUGCCAGAUGCCACACUUGUUUUCUAAGUGUUCUAGACUCAUCAACGUCACUUACUAUAUCUAUGUCCAUGUGUCACUUUUGUUCACUAACCCAUCUAGGUUCUUGUCACUUGUCAUGCAUAAAUAGGGUUUACAAUCCUCACAUUCUUACAAGUAUUUCAUACGAAAUUAAAUUCACAAUCAUGCCAUAAAAGCUCACAAUUAACCCUACUAUGCAACAUGCUCAAUAUAUACAUAUAUGUUCAAACAUGACACUUUAGACAUAAAGAGAUUUUCGAGGUCCUUGGAAUGCACCACCCACCUCGAGUGGUCGUGUAGGUGUAGAAUAUGAUGACUCCCAAACUUUACGAAAGCCGAUUUCGCGUCCUGUAACCAAAAUAGUGUCGUAUUAGGCCUUUUGUACAUGAACCAUACUUAAACAUUUUCGUAACGUGGAACGGAGUUGUCCAACGCGUCAAGGACACUCCCAAUUAGGUUUCUACGAGGUCAAUUCGCCCUCGAGAAAUCCUAGGACAAAAACCCCAAAUUUGGUGCUCUAACCAAACCUAUUGCUAAACCCUAGGUUUUGAUCUCUAUAACAAGUAAAAGAGAGCUUGUCUAACCUCUAGAAGCUCAUUUAGAACCAUCCCAACCAUCUCUAGGGCUUAGAAUGCAAACCCUAGAAAUUCCCCAUUAGAGCACCAUGAAGAAAACUAGAGUUCAACGGUGUUCAAGGCUCUACUACUCUUCUAAAGCCUCUAAAGAGACCAAAACUCUAAAACCUAAGGUUAAAAUUCAAACCCUAGAGCUCUAUAUGCUAAAAACUUACCCUGACCCAAGUUCUAGCAAGCUCCUUCUUGUUGGAGAGCUUCUAGAACCACCAAACCUCCAAAAUCGACCUUCUCCAAGCUUUUCCCCACCUUCUCCUUGCCUUGGAGCUUGGGUUCUAGAGAGAGAAAGAAGGGGAGUGAGUUGGGGAGGUGAAAAUGGCUGUGGGAGUGAAGGGUGUAGGGUUAUAUCAUGUUGUAAUAAUUACAACAAGGCCCCUCCACUUUAUUUCCAAUGCACUGCCCAUACUGGGCAUUUUUCGCAAUGAGGGACCGGUCUCCCCGACCUGGGACCGGUCCCCGAGAGCUUCUCCCGCGGACUGCACAGGCUGUGCGCGAUGCAAUCGGUCUCCCUCAAUGGGACCGGUCUCUGAGGGACCGGUCUCUCUUCGCAAGGACCGGUUCCCGAUAGCUGAUUUUGCAGGACUUAGCCGAUUUCUCAGCCAUCUCGUUGCCUACGCGUUCCGGGACCGGUCUCUCCCACCAGGGACCGGUCCCCGAGAGCACAAAACCUGCAGUUUGCAUAUUUUGAUUUCCAAAGAUCUCGAAGAUCCCCUGUAAUGCAUUUUUGCAUUAUUAGACGCCUUCGGCCUCUCCAAAGUGUACCAACCUCACACUUUGGCCAAUUUAACCAAGGUUCGAAUUUAAUUAUCGAGGUUUCGGUAUGUUACAUUCUCCACCCCUUAAAUUUAGUUUCGUCCGCGAAACUUACUUAAUUUAGA
rnacentral:lncRNA from 1 species